rnacentral:lncRNA from 1 species
GCUAUCGAAACUUCUUCUUCUUGUCUAGGAACUGGUUCUUUCUCUUUCUCAGGGAUAUAAAAGCUAGGAGACUUUCCACUUAAUAAAUCAAUCAAAUUCCAAGCUUCACUAGCAGGUAGGUGAUAGAAGGAUCCUCUAGAGGCUGUAUUCAAGGUUUGCUUAUUUUCCCCACUAAGGCCCUAAAAAAAGUGAAUUAGAAGAACUUCUUCUGGAAUAGAAAGCUUUGGGCCAGUGAGAGUAAGGUUAAUAAAGCGGUCCCAUGAUUUCCUAAGAGAUUCUUCUUCCAGUUGUCUGAAAGAAAUAAUCUCACGCCGAAGUUCUGCCACUUUAGAGAUUGGAAAAUAUUUUAAAAGAAAACUAUUAUGUAACUCCUUCCAAUCUCCAUGAACACUCCAUACUUUGAGUAUGUACCAAUGUCUAGCUUUUCUGUUAAAGAGAACGGAAAGAGCUUCCAUUUAAGGGUCUCAUCGGACAUUCCUUCUAUGCGAAGGAGGUCACAGACUCGAUAAAACUCUCUUAGGUGUGGUGUAUGGGUUUUCCUCACCUUCUCCUGAGAAAGGUUGUUUUUGAAAAAAUUCUAUGUAUUCGGGGUCUAUCUCAAAACUAGAUGCUAUGAUAGGCUUUGAAGAUUUUGGUGGUUCGAGAUGUGUGCCCGUAGGUCUAUGAAAUUCAUAGAUAGACAUGUUUGAAUUCAUGAUAGACCAGAGAUCAAGGAUUAGAUAAGAAGAAAGAUUAGCAGAGAUGAGGCAAAGGAUAAAAGGAAUUUUUUUUUAUUUUUUUUUAGAAAAUGAUUAAGCUAGUUCGUAGUCAACUCAGCAGCCGUUUCCCCGGCAACGACGCCAAAAAUGCUUGUUGACACUUGCUAACACCACUUGAAUUCUAGAUUGUCAUCCCCAGCAUGGCACUAGAGUGUACUAUGGUAUUUAUACACACACAGAUAAUCCGCAAGCGCACGGAUACCGUUAUAGCUUUUACCCGGUUAAAGGUUUUAUCGUAUCCACAAGGAAACGGGAGAACCAACUACGCUCUAACUUAACCAAGAUAGAUAGAUAAGUAUAAAUAGGAAAGAUGAUCGAAUCGAAUAAGAACAAUAUUAAAGGUAAGAUAACAGUGGGUGAUAAUAUGGGAAUAGAGAAUAGAGCAAUUCUAGUAUAUGGGCGAUGGUAGCAGAAUAGAGAGGAUAACUAUGGUUUCUCUACUUCAAAGGGGUAUGUCUAUGUCUAGGACGAACCACGUGAUAAGAGUACACCACAAAGGAUGCUUAUCCUUAGGCCGAUAAACCCUACCCGUCAUGCUAACGAGAGGUGGACUACAGAGGACCAACGUAACUGUCACCUACGCGGCCUACCACACGAUCCAGCUAGACAGGGGAUAUCCACAAGUAAUCUAGAUCUAAGCACCUUGCUUACACCUAUACUACAACUCUCACCUAUAGCGUCCUAUAGAUUAAAGUACUCAAAAGAGUUGUGAACCAGAACAUACAUAAUUAGUAAUUGCAUAAUGAAUUAGAAGUAGAUUACCAGAGUCAUCCCAUGAGCAAGCUUGAUUAGAGCUUGAUCAUGACGAAGUACAACCGGAGGAAGAACCGACAGGCCGGCCUCUCCUCUAAUCCUCCUUCGCUCUCCAUCUUGCUAUUAUCUAGAUCUACUCUAGUUUAGAGAAGAGACGAGAGCUCUCAUCUCUAAACCCUAGCUUUUGCUCUAUCUAUGAAUAAUGAAUAAUGAUCAAGGGGUGCCUCCUCCAGGGGCCAGGGGGUCUGGUUAUAUAGUCCCAUCAAGUGAACCUGGGUCAUCGGAUCAAACCGACAUUGAUUGAACGGUUAUUCUUGAUCCUUUAGGUCGGUGGAGAUCUCCCGAGAGAAAGAGUCCUGAUUGGGCUCCAAGUCAGGGCGGGCGCCCAGCCUCUGGCCCCGUUCAGCCUCCGCUUCCUUCCCGUGGCUUCUGGAGUCUUCUAGAUGUAAGAUAAUUGCGUGGCACGUUAAUAUCUCUAUGUAAUCCUGACGUGUGGGCCUUUCUUCCGUAUUUCCUGAUAACCCCCUGCAGAAAUAGACAAACACCAAAACUCGUGGAAUUCUGUCAGAUAAAACCCUAAGUCUAGAUGUUGAUUUUAUUUGGAUCCAUUUCUUUGUUUAUUUGAUAAUUAAAUUUGAUACUUAAGGACCGUCAACACCCAUAAGAUUCUACCUAGUCUCAAAAUACUUUCGCAUACUUGGUAAUUUCCCAUGAUACCAUCAAACAACUAAACCAUUUGGUAUCCACCUAUAUAUCGUAGGUGAUAGGAAAUCACCCGACUUCUACCGUACUAGGCAAGCUAAGCAUAGACUUCGAGCCUACACUACUUAGGACAAGGCAGGUAGACAGGUGGUAAAUUCAAGGAAUAACCAUGCAUCAAUGGUGUCAAGCAACUCCUAUAACUUAGUGCAACAAAAUCAUCAAUCAUGAAGCUCUUCUUCCGGCUUGUGUCCCUCUAGAAGUUCCUGCACCGGGGUCUCCUCCUGCUCCUCGGGCCCUACCUCGUUCUUCUACGAGUCUGUAUGAUGCAUAUGCACAAAUAAGCAAGGUGCAGUUGUAUGCAAGUGAAGGCAAGCUGAUCAUGAUAUGAUUUUUACGGAGUAAGUGCAUACUUCUUCUCCGGUAGAGAAGAGUCAUGAUAAAGAAAACAACGAAUUAUUACAACUAAGUAGUCAACAUCAUCUAAGAACAUGUAACCGAGGCAAGCCAUCUAUUGCAUUCUCUUCUACAAGCUACUACUAAACCAGCAAGUUAUCAUAGUGCUUCAAAGAUACACUAAACUUAUUUAACUCCACUAAUUUCAUGCAUAGCAAGUGUUUAAUUAUUUAUCAAUUGCUAGGCUUAUAACAGUAGCAUGUAGUUCUGUACUUGAAUAAAUUCUAUAAAAAUUACAGCAGCCCACAAACCAAUUUUUUAUAGCAUUUGGGCAAGGAACGUGGCCCACAAAAAAUUCACAAGUUUAUUAAUAUAAAUAGGGCAAAAUACCCUACUCAUGUAAAAGUGUCAAACAACAGAUUUCAUAAUUUUCUAAAUUACUUAACGACAUAAGAAAGGCUCACAAUAUUUUAGACAUUAAUUGCAUGAUCAGAUUAAUUAUUAAAAAUCAUAAACUACUACCAUGCAAGCAUUUAAAUCAACAUAAAUCAUUUAAUACAGUAAAUAUUGUGUUUCUUAUUUUUCCCAGUAACUACACAUUCAUGCAAAGCUAUUAAAACAAGAAUCAUAUUUUUCUGGUACAUAUUUUAUUUUCUGUGCAUUUUCUAAGAAACGACAAUUACUUGUAUUAAUUAAACUUAUACAAAAAAUAUUCAAACAUAACAUGCAAUGGUAUCAAACUGUAGAUUUACAUUUAUAGAGUACAACAAAAUUUGUUUUACCAUUUCUGGAGACCUAGAACUCAAGUUAUGGAUUUUCCAAGAUUUAAAUCCUUUUCUCAAAAUCAUUUUCUUAAAAUCAGAAAUAAAAAACAGUGGACCUCUGCUAGGUUCACCCGGUGCAGUGCACCCCCUGUGGCGUCGAGUGACCGACAGGUGGGCCACGGGGUCCCACCCGUCAGCCACCGUAGGGGCGAGGAGAGCUCCGGUGAGCCAGAGCUCACCGCCGGUGAUCCCCAAGGAGAACACAAGUACCCACAAAUGUUCUACAGCUUGAGGCGAACACGAUGGACCUCCAAACUCUACCAGAGCUAGCUCAGGGCGAGCUCAUCGCCGGCCCAAUAGAGCACAAACUGAGGUGAGCGGGAGUUAGGCGAGGCCAAGGCGAAUGCAAUGCGCAAGGAGAGGGGAUGAGAGAGGUUCAGCAGCGUGCUGGCCGCGCGAGCCGCGGCGGCAUUCAUGCCAGAGAAGGCGAUAAGGGUGGAGAGGUCCUUACCGAGUGCCACAAGGCACUAGGAGACUCGUUCUAGGACGGCGAGAUGGAAGCAGAGCUCGGGGAGUAAGGAAUUGGAGAAUGGUUGGCUCGUCGGAGGGGAACGACCGAGGCGGAGCUCGGAAGCUCCAAUGGCGACGGUGGUUCUAGCGAGCACAGAGCGGAGGCGAUAGAGCGAGAGAGGAGGCGAGAGCAAGCGCAAAUGGUGGUGAAGAGCGAGGUGAGAACUGUUGUCUCCCUUCUAGUCUCGACCGGUCUACGGAGUGGCCGGCGUGACAGCCGCACGCCUGCCACGCGACGCGCGCGUUCUGCCGCGGUCGGCCACGGCGGGGAGGGCCGGCCGCGCGGGCGUGGGAGGAGGGAGGGGGUGCGUGCGCGGGCUAGACCGGCUUCGCCCGUUGGGCCAAAAGCGAGGCGGCGGCCCGCUGGUCCCCUGUCCCGAUUUUCUUUUUUAUUUUUUUAAUUUAUUUUCUCAAAUGUUUUCAAAUUCAAAAUUCAUCAAUUUAAAAGCAUUUUUAGAGUUUGCCCCAAAAACAACUUUGCUUUAAGUUGCAACUCAAAAUUCUAAAUAGAAUUUGAAUUACAAAUUAAAACUAGUUCUAGGUUUAAAGAAAUUCAUUUUGGGGAUUUUUGAAAUAAAUUCAAGUUCUCCAAUUCUAGAGCUCCAAAAAUUUCACAAAUUUUUUUUUAAUUCAUCUGAAACAUAAACCAACAAAGUUUGGGCAUCACACACAAUUUUUAAAACAAGCAUGGUAAUCUAGCAUAAUUAAAUCUAUUUAAAAUAUACACAUAAAAUCAUAUUUAAUUUAAAAUGCACAUAUGAUGGGAUGCUCAUGCUGUAUGAGAGUGCUUAUGCAUGAUUUAUGAGACUUAGUGCAUGCUUAACACCUAGGAUGUUACAACCCUUCCCCCUUAAUGAAAUCUCUUCUCGAGAUUUUGAGUUACUAAUCAUUUCUUAUGAAAUUUUGGGUAAACUUCUUUUAGGCAAUCCUCUGUCUCCCAGGUGGCAUCUCUGUCAUCUUGAUGACUCCACACAACUUUGUAAGUUUUCAAAAUUAUAUUUCUGGUUACUCGCUCCUUAUACUCUAGGUCCGCAAUUAUCUUGACACCUCAGGGUUCAAUUCUUUGCUCAAGUACCUUCAGACACUUUCUUAAUUGGGACACGUGGAGUACUGGAAAGAUAGAACUUAACUCCUCAGGCAACUGUAUCUUAAAGGCCACAGGGCCUUUCUGUUCUAAUAUCUGAUAAGGUACUAUGUCUCUCGGUGCAAGCUUACUUCGAAACCCUAAAGCGCUGCACUUUCUUCAUUGGUGUGACCUUGAGGUAUACAUUAUCACCUACAGCAAACUCAACUGGCCUUCUCCUCUUAUCAGCAUAACUUUUUUGACACGAUUGUGUGGCUUUCAUGUGUUGUUGUUUGAUUUGUACUCUUUUCUCAGCUUCUUUCACGAAGUCGAUGCCAUAGUACCUCCUUUCACCGGGUUCAACCUAGUUUAACGGAGUUCUACACUUUCGACCAUACAAGGCUUCGAACGGAGCCAUCUUGAUACAAUCUUGAUAGCUAUUGUUGUAAGAGAAUUCAAUUAAAAGCUAACCAUGUCUCCCAAGAACCCUUUGAAGAAAACACGCAAGCUCUCAGCAUGUCUUCUAGGAGGACGUGAUUAAGUCUCUCUGUUUGGCCUGAAGUUUGAGGAUGAUAUGUUGUACUCCUCACUAGGCUGGUGCCUAAACUCUUAUGCUUUCACUCCCAAAAAUGAGUGGUGAACUGCGGACCUCUAUCUGACAUGAUGGUUUUAGGAAUACCAUGUAAUUUGACAAUCUUAGCUAUGUACAAGUCAGCAUACUGCGGUGCUCUAUACGUAGUUUUAACUGAUAGAAAAUGAGCUGAUUUAGUCAAUCGAUCAACAAUCACCUAGAUGGAGUCAUUUACCUUUCUUGUAGUCGGCAGUCUUAUUAUAAAAUCCAUGUUUAUUUCUUCCCACUUCUAGGUUGGAACUGACAGCGGUUGCAACAACCCUAUUGGCUUCAUGUCUAUAGCCUUGACUCUACAACAUGUGUCAACCGGGCCAUAUAAGCUGCUAUUUCCUUUUUUAUCUUAGUCCACCAAAAGUGGGGUCUCAGAUCUUGUUAUGUCUUGCUACUCCCCAGAUGGAUGGAUAGCUUCAAAAGAUGUGCCUCGUCCAUAAUCAGAUUCUUUAGCUCUCGGUUCAUAGGAACCACUAAACUAUUUUGAAACCAGAGUACUCCGUGUUCAUCUACUCAGAACCAUGUCUUGGGGUCGUCCAUGAUCUUUUCCUUGAUAUGAAAAAUACCCAUGACAGUUUUCUAACCCUCUAUAACUUGGCUCUCAAGUGAAUAACUGAGCUUUAUGUGAUAUAGAACUUCGAGAUGCAUCAGGUUGAAUCCAUCCUCAAACAAAGGCUGGACUUCAUGAUAGUUUGAUUUAUGGCUCAAUGCAUCCACCAUGAUGUUAGCCUUACCAAGUGUCGGUGUUUUGAAAAUGAGGGGUUACACCAACGAGUAAAUUUGUAUGCGUGCUCUCCUUUCCGGAUGGUGGUGCAAGAUUAACACAUAGAUUUAUCCUGGUUCGGGCAAAGUAAGGCCCUACGUCCAGCGGGGGAGGGAGUGUUUAUAUUAUCUUGCACCUAAGUGCUUGUACAGGGGUAAAUACAAGAGAGUGCUGCAGGAAUUUCUAAGUCCUAGUAGGAUGUGGGGAUGUACGGAUGGUGUUCUACGUCUCGUAUGUCUCCUCUAUUGCUUGUCCUUAGUGUCCCCUUUUAUAGUCCAAGGGAAGGCUCAGGGUUACAGGGUAUAGGCAUUUAGAAUAGGCCUCGAUAGGGGUAUGGCGCUGGUCUACUCGAGGCUUCCGUACCGGCGUGAUCUCAAUCCGUCUUGUUCGUAGUGUACUUGGCGAUGAUUAUGUGUGUAUCUCCUGAACUUUUCUCUCAUACGCCAUCUAGUAUUGGCCUGCAUAUGCACACAAUUGUACUCCGUAGCAGACAUAGCGUCCGGAGUGGUUAGAGCGCUGACUUCCGUCGCCCGAUCCUUCUCUGGGAAGGAGUAUGUGGGUUCAAGGGUACGGUGGUAUAGGUAGCUUUGGUGUAUGGGAGUGCUGACUCUACUGCCUUGAGGGGUCUCUUGAUGGGAUAUUAUGCCUGUUGCAACUGUACCAACACAUUCAUUUCUCUAAUUUUGAGCAUAAAGCUGGAAAAGAUGGGAUUUGAUCGGCACACGAUCCCCUAUCACAUUUCCCGUGCCUACCAGGUUAGGUGGGAGCCUGUCAAUUGAAUUAAAUGCCCUAACUCUCAUACCUGUGACAGACGGUGGGAGAGCGCUUUUGCGCUCGAGGCUGGUCGAUUCGCUCGACGCUUGUUUCCAUAAUCGACAGUUGCAUGCUAUCGAGCCUCUGGUCGUUCGCUCGACCGUAUUUCCGUAUUCGAGGCCGGAAUUGAUAGCUAUAAGUGCUGUGGGUCGAGCCACAAGGUCGAUGAACCCAUGUCUGUAGAGGAUCGUCGAGCCUGACUCUUGGUCAGCUUUUGAUCUUUUUGUCACAGAUGUCCAGUGGGGUACCUGUUGACGGUCCUUAAGUAUCAAAUAUAAUAAUCAAAUAAAUAAAGAAAAGGAUCCAAAUGUUACCAACACCCAGACUUAGGGUUUUAUCUGACAGAAUUCUACGAGUUUUGGUGUUUGUCUAUUUCUGUAGGGGGUUAUCAAAUAAUAUGGAGGAAAGGUCCACACGUUAGGUUUACAUAGAGAUAUUAACGUGCACGGGAAUGAGCGGGAGGCUGAGCGGGCCCGGGGGCUAGGCACCUGCCGUCCCCCCAUGGGUGCCUGCCCAAGGCUCUCAGCGAAUCAGGCUCCAUCUCGUGGAUAAUGCUCCACCGACCUAAAGGAUUAAGGAAAAGCAUGCGAUUAAGGUCGGUUUGAUCCGACGGCCCAUAUUCAUUUGGAGGGGCUAUAUAAGCAGGCCCCCUAGCCCCUAGAGGAGGCACUCAUUCUCAUUCCUCAAACCCUAAUUCAUUCAUCAGGAGGAGAGUCUCUGAUCAAGCCCUAGAGCCACCACAUCAACUAGAUCUCUAGUCUAGCAUAGCUACAUAGGAUUAGAACUAGAAUGAUUCAAUCUUUGAUUGGUUUCUGGAUCAGUCAAGAGGAUUCUUGGUAAUUCCUCUACUAUUCUUCAAUUGUUCAUCAUUGUUCUUCAAUAUUAUGAAUACAACUUUGUUCUAUUUCAAUAUAUUGAUUAUGACUUUGCUCUACUUGUUUAUAUUUGCAAUUAUAUUGUUCUUAGUUUAUCAUAGUUAUAUGCUUGGCUUAGUUAGAUUGGAAUUAUAUACAUGUUUAGGACCAUAUAGCGUUUAUCCAUGGGAUCCAUGGGUAAAUGUGUAGGCGUGGUGCCUAUACCAUAUUUAUCUGCGAUUGUAUCCUAUAUGCCGGAUCGUGGGGUAGUUCGUGGUGGUGACAGCUCCAUUGAUUCUUAUAUAGUCCCCCUCCCGUGUAUAAGGCAGGCAGAGCAACAUUAUUAUAGGGGAGUGAUUGCUAUGUUUAUCAUCUUCCUUGAUAAUUAUCGGCAUUUUCCCCACGGGGGGUCACACCAACGAGUAAAUUUGUAUGUGUGCUCCCUUUCCCAGAUGGUGAUGCAAAAAGACACACAAAGAUUCAUCCUGGUUCGGGCAAGAGAAGGCCCUACGUCCAGCGGGGGGAGAGAUUUUGUAUUAUUCUGCACCUAAGUGCUUGUACGGGGGUGAAUACAAGCGUGGUAUGGAGUAAGGUGGAAGUUCUACUGCGUAUGGGAGUAGUGUUGCGUGAUGUGUUGUCUUUUUUGUGUUCGCUCCCGGGCCUCCCCUUUUAUAGUUCCAAAGAGAAGCCCAGGGUACAAGUAUAGGUGCCAGGGUAGGGGUCGAUAGAGGCAUGGCGCGCUGACCUACUAGAGGCCUCCGUACCGGCGUGGUCUCGAGCCGUCCCGUCCUGGUAGCUUGAUGAUGAUUAGACGUGCCCCGGUAUCCUGCUCUGUGCGCCGUCUUGGACUGGUUCACCGGUUGCACACCUGUACGGUAUAGAGGCGGAUAUGUCGGAGUGGUCGCAGAGUUGUCAGUCGACGCCCAGACCUUCCCCAAGAAGGAAACAUGUCUGGUCGAGGGUCGGACGCCUUGUAACGCCCUGGUAUCCAGAGUGCUGACCUUGGAUGUCUCGAGGGGGUCCUGAUUAGACGUUCCAUCCCUGCUUCCCACGCCCUGACACACUCUGGGUAGUUUGGUGGGGAAGGCUGCAAAAAGAAUGACGGGACGGGUGCCUGUUCCCCAUCACGCUUCCCGUGACUGGCGUGUUAGUUGAGAAUGCGACAGGCGCAUUAAAUGCCCUGGUUCCCGUGUGCGCGUCAGGCGGCGGGCGGCGUCCUUGCGCUCGACGCCUCCUGGUUCGCUCGAGCCUGUUUCCAUAUUCGACGGUAGCUGGCGCUCGAGCCCUGACCGAUUUGCCCGACGCCUUUUCCAUCUUCGAGGCUGCGGUCGUCGAUGACUAUACGUAUGACUGACUAGAGCGUCGAGUUGAGGGUCUCGACCUGAGUGCGGGUAAUCUCAUUAUGUGCAUUAGUUAGGAUACCCCUUACUGAUACCCUCGACAGUAGCCCUCGAGUCUCCAUUUGAGCGCUGGCGCUUGAGUGGAGGCUUUAUUUUGCGGUCGAAUUUCUGUGGGGGCGCGCGAGCGACCCCACGGGGGUAGCCCCCGAGCCCUUGGAGGAGUUUGUGACUCCUUCGAGGGUUACAUUGCCUAAUUUGCAGAAACACUGUCGACACCAGUGGUGGAAGGUUCUGAUUGGGUCGCUUUGCGCGGGGGUUUCGACGUACACUGGAUAGAGCGAGCGUCAUCCACCCCAGAUUGAGCUCCUAACGGGUAGUCCAAGUGAAUAUCUGUGCCCCUUUCGAGGGGGUCAGCUGUAGCCCGGAGGCAUUCUGAUAAAGCGGGGUCGACGUGGUCGGGGAUGCUGGUCUCGUUCGAUAGAGUCCAGUGGCUCGAUGCCUCCCGUCGGGGGGAUUCCUAUAGACUGUCUCGACCCUACCUUGGACAUCCCUAGCGAGUCUCCGAGGCGCGCCUCGAUUUUCGACCACUCACUAGGGAUCCCUGACUCUGGUGCUCGAGAUCGGCUGUCGAACCCUUUCGGUGGGUCAGCCUGCGACCUCUCGAGGCUUUCAUGGGUGCGUUCCUUGGCUUACAAGGGAAGGAAGAGGCCGCGGCGGUUCGUUUUUUUUUUUGCCCGUUGGGCGCGCCUUUUCAGGCGGGAGCCGUUGCGACACGGUACCGUCGCAGAAUUCAGAGCGUCCCGUCUGUGAGGAGGAAAAAUACCGUUAGGCGGCGCAUUUACGGGGGGAGUUACCUCAUUUGUUGGAUCUGUCCAUUGGCGGGUUGCUGCCUAUAAAUAUCCCGUGGCAUCGCCGCCGUUCUCCCUUCUGCCUUCUGUCUUCAUUCUUGCCUUAGCCCUCUCGCCAUCUUAGCUCUCUCGCCAUCUCACACGCGCGCAACCCCUCGAGCAGUAGCGAAUCCACCCUCCUUCCGUCCAAGAUGCCUGUGAGACUCGUCGCCGCCGACGACUGGCGCCCAUCGUCGAUGACGGAACGCCGGUUGUUGGAGCUCGAGAGGGAGGGACUCCUACGCUGCCGCACGUCGUUGUCACCGCUAAAAUGGAUCGCACCGGCGGCGGACCACCGGGAACCCAGGCCGCACAAGGGCUACGUGGUUUCUUUUGCCAAGUUCCACCGCCACAGCUUGGGCGCUCCGCCAAGCCGCUUCAUGCGGGCGCUCUGCCACCAUUACGGGGUGGAGCUUUAGCACUUCUCCCCAAAUGCCAUUACUAUCGCGGUGGUCUUUGCCACGGUGUGUGAGGGUUAUUUGGGGAUGAUGCCCCACUGGGAGCUGUGGCUCCACCUCUACAAGGGCGAGCUUUUCAACGCCCCCGCUGGAGCCGCCGGAGUGAGGAAGCCCGUGCGGGCUGGGUGCUUGAACCUGGUGCUGAAGACGGGGAAAACAGAGAGGCCACGCGAGUACAUCCCGGUGGGGUUAACGUCGAACCACGCCGGGUGGGACUCUCAGUGGUUCUAUCUGCGGAACGACGACGGCCUUCUUCCUGCCUACACCGGCCACCUAAUCACGGAGCGCCCGAAGAACUGGACAUACGGCGUCGUCCAAGUCCACCAGUCGCGGCUUGACCCCCUCCUCGAUGCCCUGAAGAGGUUACGCUUGGAGGGCUUGUCUGCCGCUCUCGUCCUCUCGACUGUUCAUCGUCGAAGAGUUCUCCCACUAAUGUCUUGGCCGCUGAGGAUGGAUGAGAUGGGGCCCGACGUUUUGUCCCGGGACCUCGAGGCGUGCUGGAUGUCCAACGAGGCUCUGGCGGACGAUGAAGCCGUGGCCCGGGUUAGGGCGGCCGUUGCCGGCGAGUUCAAGCCGGAGCACAUCAAUGACUUCCCCAUGAGGCCCGAUGCGGGCUCGAUUGACCUGGUACGUUCCUUUCUUGUACAUGGCUCUGAUUCUUGAUUUCUUUUGAUCCCUCUUUAAACUUGCCUUUGUUCUGGCAGGGACAAAUCGAUGUCCGGUCCUCGAGGCCUCCAGUAAAGGAGGACGAGGUCGACCGUGACAAACGGCGCCGGUCCGCCAAGAAACAAAAGUCCGCCAAGGACUCUGAGAAGAAAGGGAAAAGGAAGAAGAACCUCGACCGCCAAGCGCUAGAGGCGCGUCGAGCUAAGUCCAGGCAGAGGGGGGAGCCUGAAGAAGAAUCCCCCAGUGAGGAUGAUGGUGGGGUCGGCGAUGACGACAGCGACGAUUCCGAGGGGAUGGCGUCUCGCCUCGACCGGAUCCUCGAGGGUUCCCCUCGAGGCGACAUCGACGCCCCACGGAUGGGAGCGCCAAAGGAGGGGACAGGCGGAUCUCACCGCCCCCGUGCUGACACCCCUCCUAUUCCUACGACAAGUCGGGCCACCCCGCGCCCCCAACCUCCUCCUACACCAAAGGCGGGUGUUCGGGCUAAGCCCCAGGCGACGGGGCCGUUCACCCGCGGUCGCGUCGCGGCCUCUGAGAAGGGAGAGACCAGCCGCAGGAGCGCUAGUCCCGGUGCUCGCCCGGCGGGAGACGCCGGGCCAAGACCAGCGCAUGCCCUUGAGGGGCCUAGGGCCUUGACACGUGGUGGCUCGAGGCCCACCGGUCGAGGUACCGGCAGGCGAGCCGUUCUCCCUGUGGGGUAAGUCCUUCGACGCUGUGAUUCUUAUUCUCCUGAUUCUUUGCGUUUUCUUGUAUAACGGUCUUCUUUAUGCCCGUUCCUCUUUCCUCAGAUUGAAGCGGACGCUUGAGCAGGCCCAGCCUUCAAUGGUGAAAAGGCUCAAGGUGGGAGCGGCCUCCAAGGACUCAGGUUAGCAGCUCAUUCAUGGGAUUUGUGUUGUUCUUACGUCGGCCACCAUAGUGACUAACCUUUGUUUUGCGUUCUAUAGGCUCCUCUGACCCUCAACCACCAACCAGCACUGAGAGUGCCCCACCCCGUCCCAUGGCGGGUGAGCCUGCCCCGUUGUCGCCAAAGCAAGCCAAGGCGCCUCGGCCCCAAGGGCAGGAGGGAGCCCCCGAGCCUCCCCGAUCGGGGGUCGAGGGGGAUCCUUUUACCAUUAGUGAUGGGUCUGGUGGUGACGGGACCUCGAGGGAUGCCCAUCCUAUGGACAAGGAGGCCCCGACCUCUCUUGUCGCGGGACGGACGCCCUGGCCUUCCAGUCUUCGCUCCAUCGUGGAGCAGAGGAAGAAGGAGGAGGAGGAGCGGGAGCAAGAGGUGCGGCGGCAACUGCAGGAGCAGGAACGUCGACCGGAGCCGUAGGAGCUCCAAGAGCAGCAGCAGCAGGGGGGCCAGCAGCUGGCGAAGCCGCUUGAUCCGCCCCAACCUGAGCUGGAAGUGCCACAGGAGCCUGGAAACCAGGAGGAGGGCCUGCCGGCUUUUGGACCUCCGACCCCGGCGUGGCUCCCUCCGGGGGCGCCGGCCGCGAUCCCUGCAGAAUCAGGGCGGGCGGACGGCAUAGUGGCGCUCGUCUGCAUGUCGCACACUCCCGCCGACCCUGAUUCUGAGAUCAGGAGGAUGAUCUACGGUAUGGACGGGAUCGCGCCGGGGUUCCUUCGGGGGCGUCGAUCGUGGGAGGAGCGCGUCCCCUCCGAGGAAGAUGAGAUCGGGACGUCGGAAGGCGGUGGUGGGAGCAAGACUGGGACGUGGAAAACGGUGGACGACGACGGGCGGCUCCCCUCUCUCAUCGACCUGUUCCUGCGCCACGGGGGGUCUCUCGAAACCGUCGAGGAGCUCAUCCGAGGCGUCAAGGUGCGCGCCGACCAGGAGAUGGAGAACUGGUGUCCCGACCGGAUCCGCAUCCAGGCUUCCACCGACCCGUUCGAACCCAACAUCUUUUUGGACGACCGGAAGGAGGCGGAGAAAUGGGAGCACGUCGAGGAGCUCCGCCUGUGGAUGAAGCACACGGUGGGGCUCCUAUCUGAUGUGGUUAACAACGGGCUCACGUCGGCUUACUUUGUAAGAGUCUUUUAGCCCCUAAUCCUUAUAGAGCAUUUGGUUUUGUGUGCUAACUGCUUGACUACCGGCUCGCAGGAUGUGAAAGAGACCUCCCGUAUCAAGUCGAGCUUCAUCCAUGCCACGAGAGGCGGCUGGGAGCAGCUCCCCAUCCUCAAAGACCAACUCGUGGAGUCACAGGAGAAACUCCUCAAGGCUUAUAAAGAGCUCUUGGCGCUCGAGGUGGAGAAGAAGGAGAGGGAGGCUGCCCUAGCCGAGGCUCGAGAGGCCUUAAGGAAGGCUGUGGAGGAGGCCGUGCUGCUGCGGGAGUGGACUCUGGCGGUCAAGGAGGCCGCGUCUAAAGCUUGGGAGGAGGCCUUGUCCUACAAGAAUGCCAUUGCUGACCUGGGCAAGGAAAAGGGUCUCCUUAAGACCGACCUGGACUCCAUCCGAGAAUCCUUCCAAAGGAUGAAGGUGGAGUGUGUGAACAGCGGGAUUGCCAGGGGCGCCGCGGAGGAAGCAAAGAAGAAGGCCCUCAAAGACCUCGAGGUGGAGCGGGCUCGAUCCCGCAGCCUCUCCGACAACAUCGAUCGUCUGAAGGGAGAGCUGCUGCAGAAGAAUGGAGCCAUUGCUCAGGCUGGCAAGGCGAUCGAGGAUCUGCGUGUUGCCAACUCUGAGCUGGCAUGCUCCAACAAAGAGAUCGAGAGGGCCAACACCAAAUUAGCUGGCGAGAACACAGCUCUGGAGGAGAGUGUCCGCGAUAGGUUUCUAUUGUCAGAUUUUCUUUUCGAGGUGUGCUUGGUUUUAUCUAAAGUUUUUUGCGUUGGCAUUCACAGGGAUUAAAGACGAGCUAUUGGCCGCCCAAGUCGAGGCUCGCAACGCCAAGGCCCAGCUCGAGGGGGAGGUUGCUUUGAACCGUCGAUUGUGGAUGGCGAUAAGCGAUCUCUCGACCUCUAGGGAGGUCGAGCCCAUGGACGAGUUGAAGGAGGAAGCUCGAGGCGACGCGCUGGUCGAUCAGCUGUGCUACUUAGGCGCGACGCUGAGGGAUCGGGUGCGGGACACUCUCCAUAUCGGGGUAAAGCGGGCAAUGGCAGUUGUCUGCUCGGGCUUUUCCUACGAUAUGGAGGUGGUGUCUCAUGGCUUUGUUACCGACAUCUCCAAGACUGACGCGGAAAACGAGGAGAGGCUCCACGCCUUGAUCGACGACGCGGAGGUCCCUGGGGAGAGGCUGGCCAAGCUAUUUGAGCCCGAGGUACUUCCCCCUGAGACUAACUGAGGCGCAUGCGAGGGUGGUGAGGACCGUGAUGUGGACUAAGGCCUACGAGCCUGCUUUGGGUGCCUAGGGCCCAUGUAUAGUACUCUAUUAACUUGUAUUUAAGUAAUAUAAUGUCUUUAAGUGGUUGUCAAAUAUUUAUCUGUCUUUCCGCUUGAGGCUCCUUUAUUUCCCUUUGCGCCUAUGCCUGUAGCUCCCAUUUGGUCUUUUGUUAAAGCAACCUCGAUUACCUCAUGGGUGAGGUUGCGAGUAGAGGUACCAUAGCCCAGGGGCGUAGGAGUCCUCAGGCUCGUUGUUCCUCGGCCCUUAAGGGGCUCGAGGUGCCUUCACUACUCGACCGCGUGAGAUUUACAGAUAGGAACGAAAGGAUUACUUGGUUUUUCGACACCUGGGGGGAGGGUCAUCCGCUUGCUAGCCCCCGAGGGGGUAUCGACUUGUUGAUGCAAAAGCUGAUCUGCAAACACAAAGGGCUAAUACCCGAUUUAAACGUUAAGGCGUGCCAGCCGAUUUGACCUUACUAUCGGCAAAGGUGAUAACUCGAAUACUUUGGUCCUGACAACAGCGAUGCGCCCGGAUGCCACGGCCAAGAGGUAUUCACGCGGAACUUGAGAACACGCCGAGCUUAAGUCGACGAAUUCCGAAGAACUAUUAAUAAAAAAGGAAAGUAUGACGAAGUCGUCGAAAAAGUAGAUGCUGGAAUAUGAGUAAAAACUUGUGUUUGAUUGAUUGAUAGAUGUCUCGAUUACAAGGCCCUAGGGUCUACAUUUAUACCCUACUCAAAGAGCUACAACCAGACACGACUAGAAUUCGAAUUCCAAAUUUAAACAGAAUCCGUGUACAAAACGAUUUAAAUAACUAAGGAAAACAUAAAACUAUCCUGCCGCGACAAGCUAGGACACCACCAGGGACCAAUUGGCAACCUUCAAGUCUUCCUUCCACGUCAUCGGCAGACUCCCCAUCAGCAACGAUUAAUACUGGCCAUCGGCAUAAACACAUCACCACCCAUGGACUUAGCCACGUUCAGCUGUCUCCUCAUUGGCAACCACCCUUAUCGGCAACUCUUCUACAGACCAGUCACCCUUGCCAUUCCUUGCCGAUCUACACCCUACUGAUCCUGGGUACGUGUCCAAAAACGGUGUCAACACAUGCCCCCCAAUUUUGGAGUAUAAAAUCAUUAAUGCUCUGAAAGUCUCUGUAGUAAUGAUGCCUUUCCGCAAUUAAUUCUCCCAAUUUGGUAUCCGACAACCUUAAUUUGACCAACCUUGGUUCGAUUCCUCCGUAUAUUCUUCGAAAUCCUCAACUUCCAAACGGACAUUUCCACUUCAAUCGCCCAUUGUCAAUGUUACCGUUACAGAGACCUGCCGAUGGACUGACCAGGACGUCCUGUUCAGUAAAGUAUCUUAUCCUCCCAAACGGAUACCCCCACUUUAUCCGCCUAUCGGCAAUAUUACCGUUACAAGGCGCUGCCGAUGGACCGAUCAGGAAAUCUCACACAGUAAAAUAUCUUCAGAUCACGACCGCUUCCUGUCAAAUCACCUGCACAAUCCCUUGAUUACCGUGUGAACAAUUACCAUAUCUUCCUGAGUAUCCUCGGAUUUCACGGAUACGGCCAAGUGAUAAGUCAGAUUUACCCCUACCCACUUUGUCCUAUAAAUAGUCCCUUCUCGAGUACUCCUUCUCCAUCGCAUCAUUCCACAGUUCCAACUCCACCUUCCUGGCGGCCGCGCUGUUCGAGAUCUCCAAGAACUCCAUCAAAGCCCCUUCUUCACCAACCUCGAAGCCUUCGAUCUUCCUUUUCGUGAGGAAAUGGCCAUCGACUUCACCGUUUCUGAGGUCAGUCCUUCAUUCCACCUCUUGUACUUUUACCGCAUCUCUGUUCACCCACAAUUUAUUUUACUGAACAUUUUUCUUUUUCUUUCUUUAUUCUUCUUUUUACCUUCAAAACCAUUAGGAUCUGUCCAAUAAAAUUAUUAUCCCUACCGAUCAGCCACACCUGCAAUGUCUUGGCCCUUUAGGGGAUCCAGAUCCCACCGAUCUCAUUAACGCAGAAACAAACAGAAUCCCCUUUAGAGCCGAGAACUUUUCUCUGGAUCUGUGGAAAGACACCUUCCGUUCCUAGCCCAGUCCUACCGUGGGAUGGAAGGAUUGGUUUUUGAGAGUGAGCCAAUCAAAUGAGGUCCAGUGGGGUGAAAGAAAACUGGACCAAUGCAUCAGGUUGUCUAUUGCCGAUAUGCAUAGGAAUGAGUCACUGUUGAUAGCUGCAUCAUAUUUCUGGUCAGACACACUCAAUGCCUUUGUCUUUGGCCACGGCCCUGCUUCCCCCACACUUGCCGAUGUAGUUAAGCUCACUGGCUUAGAUGUAUCUUCUGCCGAUAGCACCCACUUUUUCGAUGCCAAACCCAGUGCUAAGGUAGAAACUCGCUCCAUCGGCGGUUGGUCAGGAUACAUCCAAAAAUACAAACGAACAGGCCCUAUUAACAUAAAGGAACAGACCAGCUUCUUGAACAUGUGGUUGGAAAAGUUUGUAUUUUGUGGUCGAUCGGCAGGACCAACUUCUGUCGAUCUAGCAGUAGCAGAAAGAUUAGCCGAUGGUGGCCGAUUUCCCCUCGGCCGAUACUUGCUUGGCGCAGCCUACCACCUCCUUCACCAAGUAACCACGAAACUCCUACUUGGUCAGCCCAUCGGCAACUUGGGGGUCCCUGGUGGUUCAUUAAUAUGUGGCUCAGUCUCCACAUGCACAAGCGUCUCGAGUUUGACCUCUUCGCACAGCGUUUCCCCAGAGACAUAACUGAAGAUUAUGAACUGGAUGAGGAAGAAUUGGCAACUCGCCCUCCCCUAAACUUUGGCGAGGCUAUCAUAGUUCUGCCCGGUACAGGGGGCAAUGCAGACCAGGCCAGCUGAUUUUUCCAAACCUUAUAUGAAGGUCUGACCAGAGAACAGCGAGCAUGGUUACCCUAUGAUGAUCCAGACACCAUGUUUCCUUUGGUCUUUCAUCCGUUCAACGAUGCUCUCAACAAGGAUCAUGAAGUGAUGAUGGCACUGAUCAAUCCAAGAGCCAUACCAGUAAACUUCUUUGGCAGUGGAAAAACAUCCAAUCAAACCUAUGAGUUUCAUAACCCAUCGGCAUUGGCUCGCCAAUUAGCUUUCGGCCAGCUACCGAUUGCGCUCUGUUAUGCCGAUGUGAUAAAACCCAGGGAAGCCAUUACUAACCUCCUCGAGUGGAUUCGAGUAGCCCAACUACCACCAAGUGCUGAUACAGAUGCAGAUUUAUCAGAGUGGAUUCCGGCCCUCUUCAUUACUCAGGCGUACAAGCAGUGGUGGGAAGAAUGGAAGGAGCAUUUAUUCUGCAGAUCGGCCUUUACAUACCGUGGGCUGAUUGAUCCUCAAUACAAGGUCCCCAAUGACACCGUAAGUAUCUCUAAACCGAUGUUCUAAUCUUUUUAUUCUUAUUCUCAUUGGUAACUCACUUUCUGUGUUAUGUUGCAGGUUGAUGACACUCCUCCAUCGGUCAGCAAGAGUGGCAAGCCGAUUGAUUUGUUCCCAUCAGGUCCGAUCUCUUCAAUCGGCAACAACGCUCCUAUUCUGGCCGCCAUCAUGCAUCGAGGUGUACGCCUCAACAUAGUCACCACCAGGAGAACUCAAAUAUCUCCAUUGGUAGCUGCGUCUACCUUGGCACAGGCGUUCAAGGUACAUCUUCAAACUUUUAUACCGAUUUCACUCUUAUAUCUGUUGCACUUGUACUCACGAAUCUCCCUUUCUGUAUCAGCACACCAGCGCAUCGGCAAGGACUAGAAGCAAAAGUGCCGAUGCCCCCCAGUCUAGUCAGCCGAAGAGGAAAGGUGCCAAGCGUACCAGAGCACAAACAAAGCGCCAAAGAGUAGCAACACCUCCUGCUCCCCCGGUAUCUCCAAUUCCAGAAGAGUCUUCUCCCUCUUCUCCAGAAACACAGACACAGCAAGUACCAUCUUCCCCUCAGCCGCAAGAAGCAUAUCUAAUGGAAGAACCCCAACCAGAAGCACCUCAGCCAGAAGACACAUCGGUUGAUAUGGGCGAGCAGACUACCGAUCCAGCAGGAUCAAUCAUAUCAUCGGUAGUUUCCUCAAUCCAGACAAGCACUAUACCUCCUCAAGGUAACACACUUCCUAUGAAAUCAUUACCGAUGAACUCAUUUCUUCUAUCUUAUAAUUAUUUCCAUUAUUCUUUCAGUUGACAUAGUUCCAUCAGCACCUCUAGCCGAUCAACCUGUAGCUCUAUCGACAUCUUCCAGUCAGAGGCAAGAAAUCGCCCUGAAACAAGUAAGUUAUCCAAUCCUUGUCUGUAUCUUUAAUCAAUACUUGACCGUAGAAUAACUCAUUUUCUUUCCUUUUUAGGAGCAGGACUCUCCCGAUAGUUUGUUCUCUUUCGCCAUCGACAUCUCUGAAGAUGAAGGCGAAGAAGCAAGCUCUUCUCGGGCAGUUGGGAUCACAUCGGCAGAAGUCAGGGCAAAACUGGAAGAACUAUCGGCUCUCCUCCACCAAGACACAGCCCAACUAGUCGAUGAUUCUGAUCCGGCUAAGGAUUUAUUUAAGACCCUGAGAGGCCAAAUCCCCAUCGAUGCCGAAGAAGUUCUCUUUCAAGCAGCACAUUUGGAGAGCCGUCAACUGCAGUACCAGAGGGCUGCCCAGCGCCUUGCCGACAGAGCCGCUCAGACUCGGCUUUCUGAGGAGAUGAUGAAAGAAAAGCUUCUUACUGAUGAAAAGCAUAAGAACAUCAGCACCUUGAAGUCCUCGGGAGAUGCACUAAAGCACAAGAUCUCUGAUCUGUCAGCAAAAAGAGAAGCCCUAUUGGCAGAACUUAAGCAAGUGGAAGAAGCUCUGUCCCAAGCUCAACAAGAGGAAAACUGGCUGCCCGAGGCAAUCAAACUCCUUGAGCAAGAGCGAAACGUCCAUGGCCGCAAAGCGCUGCAGUUGAAGAAGAAAUUGAAGCCAGUGGAAGGCUCUGCCGAUGAAGACAUCAAAGAGAUAGAAGCAGCCAACCAGAUCCGCCUGCGUGCUAUAUCAGCGAUCCAGGCAUUGCUGAACAUGUGAACCCUUCAUCGGCAAUACACCUGCUUCUUUUGGCUUUCCAAACUUCCUGAUAUUUUAGUCUAGCCGAUAGGACUGUUAUCGGCAUCUUUUAAAACAUUAAGUCCGGCAUCAGACACAUUUUGAUCCAGCCGAUAGGAGUGUUAUCGGCAUUUAAACUUUUAUGCAUCGACCCAUAUACUUGGGUGGUACUUCUUCAGAUAUUUGCCAUUUAAUGCUCUGGGAAAUUCAACCCCUUCGAGUGUUUCUAGGAUAUAAGCAUUACAAGGAGCCGAUCGACUUAUCCGAUAGGGACCCUCCCAAUUGGGCGACCACUUCCCAAAUUUUGAACACUUAGUCCUGAUCGGUAGGAUUAAUUUCCACACUAAGUCUCCAUCGGCAAACUCCUUAGCCUUUACUUUCUUAUCAUACCAUCUGGCAACCCUCUUCUUAUUCUCUUCUAUACUCAUCAAGGCCUUCAGCUGAUGUCCUGCCAAAUCGUCCAACUCGUCUGUCAUCAAAGUAGCAUAAUCACCGGCAGUCAAUUGGUCUUGAAAAGAUAUUCGCCUAGACCCAGCCUUAAUCUCCCAAGGUAGCACUGCAUCAUGCCCAUACACCAACUGAUAAGGUGAAACCUUGGUCGAUCCAUGACAAGCCAUCCGGUAUGACCACAAAGCUUCAUUCAACAACGUAUGCCACCUCCUAGGAUUUUCCUCAAUCUUUCGUUUGAUAAGCUUGAUAAUCCCUUUGUUAGAUGCCUCGGCCUGCCCAUUAGCUUGAGCGUAGUAAGGAGAAGAAUUCAAUACUUUAAUUCCCAUACCGAUUGCAAAUUCAUCAAACUCCCCUGAUGUGAACAUGGUGCCCUGAUCGGUAGUGAUCGUUUGAGGAAUUCCAAAUCGGUAAAUGAUGUGUUCCUUCACAAAAUCAAUCAUAUUGGCCGAUGUAACCUUCUUCAAAGGAAUAGCUUCAACCCACUUAGUGAAAUAAUCAGUGGCAACCAAGAUGAACUUAUGCCCCUUACUGGAUGGUGAAUAAAUCUGGCCGAUCAAAUCAAUAGCCCACCCUCGGAACGGCCAAGGCUUUAUAAUACGAUUCAUAGCCGAUGCAGGCGCCCUUUGAAUAUUCCCAAACUUUUAACAGCCUUGACACCCUUUAAAAUACUUAAAGCAAUCCUCAAGUAUAGUCGGCCAAUAAUACCCAUUUCUUCUAAUCAUCCACCUCAUCUUAAAAGCCGACUGAUGUGCUCCACAUACCCCUUCAUGGAUUUCUCCCAUCAAACUCUUAGCUUCUUCAUCACCUAAGCAUCGGAGAAGAAUCCCAUCAAUAGUUCGAUAAUACAAUUCAUCUUCGAGGAGCACAUACUUGGUGGCUUGAAACCGAACCUGUCUCUCAACUUUCCUAGAUGGAUCCUUCAAAUAAUCAAUAAUUUCUUUUCUCCAAUCAUCGGCACCGAUUGCCGAUAUUACAUUAAUCAUGGGCUGAUAUCCUGAGGCAUGCUGAUCCAACCGAUUGGCCUCUUCAUUAUGCAAUCGAGGAACAUGCUCUAAUCGGAAAUCCUUGAAUUACUGCAACAGUUGCAUACUCCUUUCGUAAUAAGUUAUGAGGACUUCACUUCGGCAUUCAUAGCUUCCAGCCAAUUGAUUUAUAACCAGCAUAAAAUCCCAAAAGAUGUCCACGGCGUCAGCAUGAACUUCCCUCAGUAAUUCCAGACCCUUUAUCAAAGCUCGAUACUCAGCUUGAUUAUUUGUGGACGUGGCAACAAUCGGCAAGGAGAACUCAUACUUCCUCCCUCGAGGGGAAAUUAAUACUAUGCCGAUUCCUGCCCCCCGGUCACAUGUGGAUCCAUCAAAGAAGAGCGUCCAAGGUACAAUUUCCAAAGCUCCCACUGUACCGCAAUGUUGAGUUACAAAAUCAGCCAUAAUCUGCCCCUUAACCGCCUUAGCCGAUUCAUAACGCAAGUCAAAUUCCGAUAGCGCCAAAAUCCACUUACCGAUCCUGCCACUCAUGAUCGGCAUAGACAGCAUGUAUCGGACCACGUCAUCUUUGCAUAUGACAGUGCAUUCGGCCGAUAACAAAUAAUGUCUCAACUUGAUACAGGAGAAGUACAAGCAUAAACACAGCUUCUCAAUAGCCGAAUACCUAGUCUCAGCAUCGAUCAACCUCCUGCUUAAGUAAUAAAUUACACGCUCUUUCCCUUCAAAUUCUUGAAUUAAAGCUGAACCGAUGACCGUCCCAUCGGUAGACAAACACAAUCUGAAGGGCUUCCCUUGCUGAGGUGGGAUCAGGACUGGAGGAUUCACUAAAUAAUUCUUGAUUUCAUCCAGAGCCAACUGUUGUUCUUUCCCCCAAACAAAUUCUUGAUCGGCCUUUAACUUAAGAAGAGGACAGAAAGCACAAAUUUUACCACACAAAUUAGAUAUAAAUCUUCUGAUAAAAUUUACCUUGCCGAUCAAGGAUUGGAGCUCGGUCUUGUUGGUAGGGGCCUCUAUUUUGUUAAUGGCAUCAAUAGAUCUUUGACUAAUUUCAAUCCCCCUUUGAUGCACCAUGAAACCAAGAAACUGUCCUGCCGAUACACCAAAUGCACACUUAUUGGGAUUCAUUUUCAAACCAUGCUUCCUUGUGCAUUCCAACACCUUUCGUAGAUCGGCAAGAUGCUUUGUGAAAUCUCCAGACUUAACCACCACAUCAUCAAUAUAAAUAUCCACUAGCUUGUCGAUGAAUUCAUGAAAGAUAAAAUUCAUAGCCCUCUGAAAAGUAGCACCAGCAUUUUUCAAGCCGAAGGUCAUGACUAUCCAUUCAAACAACCCGACAUGACCAGGACAUCUAAAUGCAGUCUUUGGAAUAUCCUCUUCAGCCAUGAAUAUUUGAUUGUAUCCUGCAUUGCCAUCCAUAAAGCUAAUAAUCUGAUGCCCAGCUGCAGCGUCAACUAGCAGAUCGGCAACUGGCAUCGGGUAGCCAUCCAUCGGCGUAGCUUUGUUAAGAUUCCUGAAAUCAAUGCAGACCCGAAGCUCCACGUUCUUCUUGUAGACCGGAACAACAUUGGAAAUCCACUCGGCGUACCGACACUGCCGAAUAAAUUUGGCUUCAAUAAGCUUAGUUAUUUCGGCCUUAAUAUCAGGAAGAAUAUUAGGAUUACAUCGGCGAGCUGGCUGCUGAUGUGGCCGAAAUCCAGACUUGAUAGGCAACCGAUGCUCAACAAUCGAUCGGUCCAAUCCAGGCAUCUCAGUAUAAUCCCAAGCAAAGUAAUCUUUAUAUUCCUUUAACAAAUCAGUUAACUGUUGCUUACACUCAUAACUUAACUUAGCACUAAUAAAAGUAGGUCUAGGUUUAUCACCACUGCCUAUGUCUAUUUCUACUAAAUCAUCGGCUGAUGUGAAACCUUGGCCUAACUUUCCAUCAUCGGCGAAUCUAUCCAUUAAAAAUCUUCAUCAGAACCGACUGCUUGGAUCGGUGGAACUUCAUAAUCGGCAAUCUUGAGGAAAUCUCUUUCCCAGACCUCUCCUGAAAUACACCUAGUUCUUUCGUAGGUGUCUGCUUCUGCCGAUGCAAUAAUAUAGGAAGAAUCUCCCGGGACAAUUUCAAUCUUGUCACCUACCCACUGAACCAAGCACUGGUGCAUUGUAGAUGGGAUGCAACAAUUGGCAUGAAUCCAAUCUCUUUCCAAUAGUAAAUUAUAAGCACAUUUCCACUGAUUACGAAGAAAGUUGUCGGCAAGGUUUUGCUGCCGAUGGUCAAUUCAACGCAUACAGCCCCCUUGACCGGAGACACAUUGCCUUAAAAGUCCUUGAGCAUCAUAUCGGUCUUGGUCAAAUCUUGAUCUCCUUUCCCAAGCUUCCGAUACACUGUAUAUGGCAUGAUAUUGAUAGUAGCUCCACCGCCAACCAGAAUCUUAGUCAUCGGCUGACCAUCCACUCUUCCAUUGACAAACAAAGCCUUAAGAUGCUGCCUUUCAUCAUCGGCAGGCUUCUCGAAGAUGGCUGUCAUCGGAUCUAGAGCCAACUGAGCUAUCUGGUCGGAAAACUCCAACUCAUCAUCACUGGAUGGCACAAGGAACUCCAUCGGUAACAUAAAGACCAUGUUGACAUCUACCAAUGGACCUUUCCCUUUGGGAUCCAACUGCUGUUGAACCCGAGACUGGCCAGAGUUCUCACCCCUGCUUAACUCUUCUCGCCUUUCGCGCUGCAACCUUCUCUUUUUUGUUCUGGUCAGCCCCUCUGGACACCAUGGAGGAAGUUGUUGUUGCCUCACCGAUGGGCGAUCUCCCCUUGACUCCAUCCAAUAAGUAUUGGCGUCCCUGCAGAGAAUGAACUCAUCGGGAACCCGUGCAUUAGCCAUCUCUUCAAGUUCUUCCUGAUCCCUGGGAAAAUAUUGAACACGAUCGCCGAGCCUGUCGUGCACACUGAGCUUGCCCCCCAGCCAAUCGUGAACGGAUGCUCUCCCCCUAAUCAGCCCAUUAAACCGCUGAUCGUUGUCAUAAUAGCGCCGAUCAGAUCUGUUAUACCGAUUAUAACCAUUGCACUCAGGACAAUCUCUGACAGUAGGAAGCUUGAUAUUCUCCUCCCGGCAAUGGAUGAAGAACAGAUAAUUCCAGUGAUCCCUAUGUCUAUUCCACUCUUGCCAGCGCCUUUCUUCCUCCCGAUUGUAUUCUUCCUGCCGGCGUCGGUACCGGUCCUCACGUUGCUGCCAAGUUUCCCGAGGCCUCCUGUGAGUUAUCACAAUACCAGAUCGGAGAGGCCUUCCUGAGUUAGUUCCUUCCUGGAUUAAGCCUUUUCCUUUUGCAUUGGCAGUAGUGACCUGAUGCUGGGGAUCUACCGAUGCACUUCUUUCAGCUGCUUCCGACGUCAAGACUUUGGCCUUUCCCUUAGCAUCCAGCAUGUUUGUUGGGAAAGGGUGUUGAUCAAUUUUCAUCGGCUUCUGAGUUUUGGAGCUGUCAAAUUUGAUCCUCCCAGAUUCUAUAGCUGAUUGCAGCUGCUGUCUAAAAACUUUACACUCAUUAGUGUCGUGAGAAGUUGCAUUGUGCCAUUUGCAAUACUUCAUCCUUUUUAAUUCUUCAGCCGAUGGGAUCACAUGAUUAGGUGACAGCUUGAUCUGACCUUCCUGAAGUAGAAAGUCAAAUAUCCUAUCGGCCUUAGUGAUGUCAAAUGCGAACUUCUCCGGUUCUUUAUGUCCAAAAGGACAAGAGAUCGGCUUUUCAUUUUUCACCCAUUCUGCCAAGCCGAUGACUGGUUCUUCAUCAGAGUCCGAACUUGCCGCUUCAUCCACAAAUGAUACCUUUUUAUUCCAUGCUCUCUUGGGCUCAAAGGGCUUGAUAUCUUGAUCAGAAAUUCUCUGCACCAAAUCACUUAAGCUUUCAAACUCCUGAGAUGCAUACUUGUCCCUUAUGUGCGGCAAUAAAUGUCACAGAACCGACCAAAUUAUAAGAGUUCAAGUGUAGAAACGAUCGACAAGCAAUCAAGUUUCCAAACUUGAGCCCAUAUAAUCCCGGUAGUCAAUUGAAAUCACGAAGGACUUCAAACCAACUUGCAACAAACCAAGAUCGUAAUAAUUCAGCACAACACAACGAAUGUUACAUAGUCAUUCAUUGCUGUCGAAGCGGCACCACAUCGGAGUAUUAAGUUAUUACAACACUUGUUUGAAGUAGCGGAAGCAAAAUAAUUACACACACACUUUCCAAAUUCAGUUCUUAAGUUUGAGUUACUGCCAGAGUCUACAUCAUCCUUCCAAAAGCAUCAGAUACGAGGUCGUUAGAGAACCGUGCCCAACGGUUAGUCCUCAUCCCCAGCGGGACGGAGACAGGUCUUGCAGAAGCCGUUAUAAAAGAUGUCAUCUGCAACAGGUGGGAAUAAACCCUGAGUACGAGAUUGUACUCAGCUAGACUUACCGAUCUAGUAAAACAUAAAAGACACCAAGGAUCAUGCAAGGCUAUCAUAUAAAAGUAGAUCUGGUUGACUCGACAUUUUGCCAAAAGCCUUUAUUAAGACUAACCCAAAGUAAGAGCAUCAUAUUUAUUUAUCAUCAGCCUACCACUAGAUUAGCACCUGUACUAAACACUUCACUUGAUUAUUACAAGCAAUAAUAACCAUAUCAAGUUCAUCAUAAGUUCUUCCUUGCUAUCAUCAUUAUCAUGAACCAAGUUCAUUAGUGAAUGCUACGUUUGCCGCUGCUCUGUCAAGUUCUCACUAACCGGGAGAGACGGCGAUUCGAAUCGAAUUCCUAUCCAGCUGGAGGGUUAAUCCUAGCACUCACCCAAGCAUCCCCCGUCGGAGAGCCAAAGGGUCACCUUUGGUACAACUCAGGAAUCGCGGCUCCGAUCAGCGCCGCACUCCCAGGGCUACCAUUCUACCAGGGAGGUCAGGAAUUUUAACUCACCUGCCUUUGGGCUUACGCCAAUGGUCCCCCGCACACCGCACUACCUCCGGUAGUGCGCACUUUAUACUUGCCGGUCUUCCGGCCUGAGUCAUACUACUCGGCUUCACGGUCAGAACGAGUUAUCCGGCCAACUAAGUGUUAGGCAUGCGUUCAACAUGACAAGAGGACGUACAACGAUCGGUCCUUAGCUGCCACAGACAGAGUUACUACAACCUUGCAAAACUCCGCCCGGCUUAGCACAUAUAGACCAUCGUGAUCCGACACAACCCUAUAUCGCGCAGGCGACAGAAAAUCACCCGACUUCUACCGAUUAAGCAAGGCUAAGCUACUACUCGAUCCUAACUCUACAACCAGGGUAGGGUAAAAUAUCUAGACAAGGAUGGAGUAAAGUGCAGCAAAGGUUUACUCACAACUCCUAUACUUAAUGCAUCAAUAGAUAUAACAUACUAAAUCAACUUUCGAAAAUAAGGGAGGCUUAGAAUGCUCCGGGGCUUGCCUUUCACGAACGAGGCUGGCUCAUGGCUUGGGCACUCAACCUCUUCUUCGGGCUCCUCGAGUCCGACUUGCUGGACCUCCACCUCCUGGCUGCCCUCCUAGCCUUCGGGGUUCACUUGCAGAUCGAAGGAGGCUGCCACGUCCGAUGCACCUAUUGCAUGCUCGGAGAAUGAGAAGGUGUGCAUACAAAAGAAUGGAUGCUUGAUAUCAUAAGUAACUCACUGGACACUCAUUUAUGGAGUAACACAGUUAUAACAAGUUCACACAAGCUAACAAGUUACUUAGCCCAAAAUGUAUCAUGAUAGCCUAUAACAGCAAGCAUCAAACAGCAGGAUGAGCUAAGUAAACAGAUCAUAACUAUCACCUCCAAGAUUCAACAAACAUGGGUGAGGACAUUCUGGAAAGCUUAUGAAAUUGUCUACAAAUCAUCUUUAAACAUCACAGCCAGAUUCAUAUAUUAAACCAGUCAUUUAAACAAAGUUCCAGGUUCUGUCCCAGAAAAACAGAGAGCACCUAUUUCUGGAACCCAACUUGGAACAGCCAUAACUUUUAAACUACUAGACACAAAGACUCCAAAUUUAAACCACAGCUAGUUCAAUAAGUUUACAACAACUUUGAUUUAGACAAGUUGCCCAGAAAACCAAAUUAUCAUUAGGCAAAAAUUAAAUUGCUCCCUUGCUGUCCAGAACAGCCUUUAACCCUAUAAUUAAUUAUUUGACGACAUAACCAAAGCACAAACCAGGCCAACCACAUGGCUUAUGAACACAAGCAUAUCACAAAGUUACCAGAACAUCAGAUGACCACCCCUAAACGUUUACUUAACAAGGCAUUUAUUAAUUAAUUCUAGAUAGGAGCAUAAUUACAAUAUGCUUAGUCAAAGUGCCCAGAAAAAUCUACAAAAAUUACAAAGGCACAAGUGUAGCAUCAAAGCAUCACCAUAAAAAUUUCAGGGCAAUGGAACAUACCAAAUUAAAGAUAUGUAUUUAACAUGUGCCAAGGUGUUUAUUUCAUAAAUUCAGAAACAUGACAUAUAUGGUGUCAACCAACAGAUUUCAAAUUAUUUACAUAUGAGGAAUACCAUAAACAUGUUUACUACCAAAGUAGAGCACCAGCAUAAGCACCAAUUAUUUUAUAUACUUUAAUCAAAGAAACAAGCCAAAUUUCAAUCAUAAAUUACAUAUCAAAGCUGCAGUACUCCAAAAAUCAUGAAAUUUUUAUCAAAGCACUCUAAUACCAUACAGAGACUACCAUAAAAUUUCUAGAGCAAACUAAGCAGUAUAACAAGAGAUAUGAAUUUACUCAUGAAUAACAAGAUUAAAUCCUUAAUAAUUAUUUUCUCAGAAAACAUGGUUCAUUUUAUAUUUUUAUUAAAAACUAGCCAUCUCAAGGAAUACCACAAAAUUGGUUUCACAAUUUUUGGAUCUCAGAAACAGGAGAUAUGAAAAGGAGGGAAAGAGGUGACACUGACAGUGGACCCCGUUUGUCAGGUUCUUCUCCCUCACGGCCGAGGCGACUCUCGCCGGCGAUUUCUCCAUGACGGCGAGGUCUCCGACCAAACCAAGGGCACCAACGUGGUCCCCAGACUCUAACGACUCGAUUGACCCCCUUUUCCCCACAGCGGAGCCACCGGAAGGAGCUCGCCGUCGACGAUGGCGGCUCGGCGGAGGUGCUCGGUGUUACGUCGGAGUCCUCAGGCCGGUAGAGCGUGACCUAAGACCUUCUACAGCACCAGCGAACUACAGCGAAGCUUCCUAGGUACGCGGCUUGGCUCGAAACCUCGUGGAACACGCUGGCCACGAGAGCACCCAUCUCCGGCGGAAACACGGCGGCGCUGCGCAUCGUGUCCGGCGACGGAGAGUUCGGUAGAGCGUCCACCAUGUGGCGCAAAUGCAAGCUUGGAACCUAAGCAACCUCUAGGACCUAACCAGAGACGAUGAGAGGCUUCAUAGGGCUCGGCAUUGAGUUCGCCGGAAAAGAUGGUCACGGCGACCCGAUUUGGGGGAAGAAGAAAAUGGCGGCUCACCGGUGGGAUUCGCAGCGAGUUAGAGGGUGGGAAGUGAAGAGCGGCUCACGGCGGAGUUGUGGGUGGAGUUUGGUGGACUGAAACGCAGCGAGGAGCGCGCACGAGCUCGCCGGAGUGAGCUCGCGACGGUGAGCUCGCUGCGGGCGCUCUUCUGGCGAGUGAGGGCGUGAAAGGCGAGAGUGGAUGCGUCCACUGCGUCCGGGGCGUCGCCGUGGACGUCAUGCGCGCGCUGGGAGCUGACGAGUGGGGCCAUCGCCGGCGUACGGACGACAUCUGGCGGACAGGUGUGGAUCGGGACAUCCACGCCGGCGAGCUCAACUCUGAAACGGACCUCGCGAUCACCGACUGACAGAGCAACUUCGUCGAUGAUUUACUCCCUAACCAGAGCGAAUUAGGAGAUGGUGUAGUUGACAAAGUUGGAGUGCUAGCCGAGAUCUACAACUUUGCCAACUGGAGCAAAAGCUAGAUCGGCCUGGAUUGAGAGGUAUGAAGUUUUCAAAAUCGAUCGAGCAAACUGUUUGUGUUCCCAGACUUAGAAAAUUUUCUAAGUGUUGGAAACAGCCCCAAAUUUGCCUUGUGGGUCAGUUUUGAGCUAUUUGCGUUCAUUUUCAUGAGAUGGCCAUAAAACAACUUUUGUUCCUUAUAAAAUUUGCUACAACUUUGCUGUAGAAAGUUUUGACAUGCAAACAUUUUAGGAAACACUUUUUAAAAGCCUAAGGAAAAGAGGUUUCUAGGGCCUAUUUACACAAGUAUGACUUAAAGGCAUAUUUUGGAGAAGUGAUCAAUGUGAAAAUUGUUCCCAAAGUUAAGUUAAGCAUAGAUAAACUAAUUACAAAUGCAUAGAGCACAAACACAAGCAUGGUUCACUCGAACAUAAGCUUAGGAAGCCUAUUUAAGCAAUUUAAAACACAUUUUUGCAUAGAAAGACAUGGCUCAAGAUAGAUGAUGGUCAUGAUAUGAUGAUGCUCAUGCUAUGCGCAUGAUUUAUGCAACCAUAACACUGGGGUGUUACAAUAAACCUUGGAAAGCCAAAUUGGCUAGCUGCCGAUCAUCUAGAACCAGGCUAUAGCAUUUGUUCUUGACCACCCGGAUCCUCUGCACAAAACUUUCAACCGAUUCAUCAUUGCGUUGCCUUAAUUUGACCAAAUCGGUGAUCUUCUUCUCAUGGACAACAGAAAAGAAGUAUUUGUGGAAUUGCUUCUCUAGAUCGGCCCAAGUAAGCACUGAGUUGGGAGGUAAUGAUAUAAACCAAGUAAAAGCUGAUCCAGAUAAUGACGACGAGAAUAAGCGAACCCUUAACUCGUCCCUGUUAGCAGCCUCUCCGCACUGGAUGACGAACCUGUUGACGUGCUCCAUUGUUGAUGUGUCAUCCUGCCCAGAAAACUUAGUAAAAUCCGGUACCUUGUACCGAUUUGGAAGUGGGAUCAAAUCAUAUGCGGGGGGAUACGGUGUCCGAUAAGAGUAAGUGUUGACUUUGGGUUUUAUCCCAAAUUGGUCUCUCAUUACUUCAGCAAUCUUAUCGGCCCAAUAAGCAUCGGCAUCUUGCCGAUGAGGCGGUUGCAGAUCCGGCACCUGCUGGUAAGCUUCCACGUGUCUAUGCGGUGCACGAUCUGCGUGAAACAUUGGGUUAAUCAUUUGUACCCCAAUCUGCGGACCACCAAGCUGUCGCCCGCCCAUCUGCUGUCUGCCGACCUGCUGCCCAAGAUUCAUUGGCUGGUUGGGCAUUCCCUGAUUCUGGAACCCGGGAUAGAUCUGGCCUUGCUGGAACCCUACAGCCUGAUGACUCUAUUGGGGCGUUUGCGGAAAGACUUGCUGCCCAAGCCAUCCACUAUUAGCAUUCAUUGGCAUAGGUCCUGCCGAUGACUGGUAAUUGGGCAUCAUCAUUGAAUUGACAUACCCUGGCUGAGUCAUAAAUCUCUGUUGCAUCAGCAUUGAGUCUGCCGAUGCGUUAGGCAUCUGGAACGUCGGAGCUUGAGAAUUCCCAGUAUAAGCUCUUGCAGUAGUAGUCGUAGUAUACUGGGGACUCUGGUUCAUCGGCAUACUUGGAGGUGCCGAUGCCAUAGGAGCCUUGCCUCUCACCUCAGCUGCCUGAGAUGUGCCAGGUGUCUUCCAGUAUUCCGGGGGCAUACCGAAACCCCACCAGUUAGGAGGAGGAACUGGUCCUGACAUUGCCGAUGCCAAUAGAUCUGUGGUGAGCUUGAUCUAUUCAUCUAAAGUCGGUGGAUUAGUUGUCAUCGGCGUAGAUUGUGCAUUAGUGACUCCAAACGUGCUUGGAGGAAUAGGAAUUUCCGUGCUCGAAGCGGCUGUAGCAGCCGAUGGAGCUGUGACCACCGGUGAUCCUGGCUGAUGAUGAGAGGGGCCCACAUAAUCUGGUGGCAAUUGUCCUUCCUUGAAAGUUCUAGCCACGGCAUUGAAAACCGUAUUGGACAGCACACCAGCUUGGUUGAUCAAGGCACGGUUGAAAGCACUAUCGACCAUCUCUUGAAGUUUACCAGGAUUGGCUUCGAAAGUAACCUGCCGAGGCAUCGGCAGCGCAUCCUUCUGGAUCACUUCGCCGCUCCUGUUCAUGCUGAAGGACCUCAGGCAUUGCUGCUUGUAAUCCUCUAUGGCUUUAGCGAUAGCUUGCUUCUGCUCAUCCUUGAGAUUGGCUUCCGUCACGGGGAUGACAUUCUCCUGAUCAAACUCAGAAGUCGACAUGUUGAUCUUGUUCUUGAAUCUGGUCCCGCUGGGCGUGCCAAAAGAUGUGUUGAUGCAAAAGCUGAUCUACAAACACAAAGGGCUAAUACCCGAUUUAAACGUUAAGGCGUGCCAGCCGAUUUGACCUUACUAUCGGCAAAGGUGAUAACUCGAAUACUUUGGUCCCGACAACAGCGAUGCGCCCGGAUGCCACGGCCAAGAGGUAUUCACGCGGAACUUGAGAACACGCCGAGCUUAAGUCGACGAAUUCCGAAGAACUCGUAAUAAAAAAGGAAAAUAUGACGAAGUCGUCGAAAAAGUAGAUGCUGGAAUAUGAGUAAAAACUUGUGUUUGAUUGAUUGAUAGAUGUCUCGAUUACAAGGCCCUAGGGUCUACAUUUAUACCCUGCUCAAAGAGCUACAACCAGACACGACUAGAAUUCGAAUUCCAAAUUUAAACAGAAUCCGUGUACAAAACGAUUUAAAUAACUAAGGAAAACAUAAAACUAUCCUACCGUGACAAGCUAGGACACCACCACGGACCAAUUGGAAACCGUCAAGUCUUCCUUCCACAUCAUCGGCAGACUCCCCAUCGGCAACGAUUAAUACUGGCCAUCGGCAUAAACACAUCACCACCCAUGGACUUAGCCACGUUCAGCUGUCUCCUCGUCGGCAACCACCCUUAUCGGCAACUCUUCUGUAGACCAGUCACCCUUGCCCUUUCUUGCCGAUCUACACUCUAUCGAUCCUGGGUACGUGUCCAAAAACGGUGUCAACACGACUAUGACGGGUCAUAGUUGGUAUCCCCUUCUAACGUUAAAAUUUUGACCAGCGAAAAAGGUAAACCAUUCGAGGGAAAGAUCUUUCUUAUUCAUUCAUUUAUUCAUAAGGUUUUGGUACAAAAUGUACAUGGAAACAUAAAGCUUCGAAAUUCUAGGGGUAGAAUCGAUGUAGUUGUUUGAUGUUCCACGCAUUGGUGAAGAUCGCCCCUUUCUCGUCCGCUAGCUUGUACGUUCCCGGCUUUAGAACCACGGCCACUACAUAUGGCCCAUCCCAAGGUGGAGUCAGCUUGUGACGUCCUUGAUUGCUUUGUCGCCGUCGUAGGACGAGGUCGCCCACCUUCAAGUCCCUCUUGCGCACGUGCUUGUCAUGGUAGCGUCGAAGCUUCUGUUCGUAUCUGGCGGAGUUGAGGAGGGCCAUGUCUCGAGCUUCCUCGAGUUGGUCGACCGCGUUCUCUUGAGUCUCCUUAUUUGGUUGCUCGUUGUAUGCUUUGAGUCGAGGGGAUCCAUACUCGAGGUCCGUUGGGAGCACGGCCUCAGAGCCAUAGACCAUGAAGAACGGGGUGUACUUUGUGGCCCUGCUUGGCGUCGUCCUUACGCUCCAUAGGACCGAGGAAAGCUCCUCGACCCAUUUCUUGCCGAAUUUCUUCAAGCGAUUGUAGAUCCUUGGUUUGAGCCCCUGUAAAAUCAUGCCGUUGGCACGCUCGACCUGGCUAUUAGUUUGAGGGUGGGCCACUGCAGACCAGUUCACACGGAUGUGAUGCUGAUCGCAGAAGUCCAAGAACUUCUUGCCAGUGAACUGAGUGCCGUUGUCAGUGACGAUGACGUUGGGAAUCCCAAACCGGUGGAUGAUGUCGGUGAAGAAAAGGACGGCUUGCUCGGAACGGAUGUUGGUGAUGGGUCAAGCCUCGAUCCAUUUGGAGAACUUGUCGUUGGCCACCAGCAAGUGGGUGUACGCCCCUUUCGCCUUUUGUAGAGGCCCUACUAAGUCGAACCCCCAUACCGCGAACGGCCACGUGAUCGGGAUCAUCUGGAGAGUGUGGGCAGGCAGGUGCGUCAGCUUGGCGUAGAAUUGGCAUCCGUGGCAUGAGCGUACGAGCUCAAUGGCAUCAGCUACGGCCGUUGGCUAGUAGAAGCCUUGUCGGAAGGCAUUCCCGAUGAGGGUCCGCGUAGCAGCGUGAUGGCCACAAGCCCCCGAGUGUAAGUCCUCGAGGAAUUUUCGGCCUUCUUCUAUGGUGAUGCAACGCUGCAAGACCCCCGUCGGGCUUUGUUGACGGUCCUUAAGUACUAAAAUUAAUAAUCAAAUAAACAUGGAAAAGGAUCAAUAUGAAACAAACAUCUAGAAUUAGGGUUUUAUCUGACAGAAUUCCACGAGCUUUGGUGUUUAUCUAUUUCUACAGGGGGUUAUCAGAGAAUAUGGAAAGAAGGCCCACAUGUCAUGUUUACAACGAGAUAAUUACGUGCCGCGCAAUUUUCCUCAAUCUAGAAGAGUCCAGAAGCCACGGGAACGAACGAGAGCAUGAUCGGGCUCGGGGGCAGGGCGGCCGCCCACCCCCCUUGGGCGCCCGCCCAGGCCAUGAGUCCAAUCGGGACUCUGCUUCAGGGCUAAACUCCACCGACCUAAAGGAUCAAUCUAAACCAUACAAUCUAUGUCGGUUUGAUCUGAUGGCCCACGUUCACUUGAGGGGACUAUAAAACCAGACCCCCUGGCCCCUGGAGGAAAGAGGAGAAGAGAAGAAAUCAUUAUGCAGAGGUAGCCAUCAAAGUUAGGGUUUAGAGCUUCUCUCCCACAGAGAAUUAGAAAUAGCUACUCCCUAAUCCUUCAAGUUUAGAGGUUUGAUUAGAUAGCAAUUAGAUAAGUAGAGCACUACGCUCUGGAUUCGGAUCUUCGGUAAUAAAGAUUGGUAUUAUUCAUAUCUUUCUCUAAUUCUAUUGUUCUAAUUGCAUUAUGUCUCUAACUAUUAUGUUCUUAGUUUGCUCUAGUUCUAUAUUUGAUAUAGUUAUGAUUGAUAAUGAGUUUAUGUAUAAGUUUGCAAAGCGCUUAGCUCUUGACACGAGGGAGUUAGGUGAUAGAUCACAUGUGAGCGUGGUGCUUAGAUGUUAUUUAUCUGCAAAUGUAUCCUAUUGGCCGAGUCGUGUGGUAGUUCGCGAUAGUGACAGCUUCGUUGAUUCUUAUAUAGUCCACCCUCCGUUGAUAGGAUAGGCAGAACCGGUAUUGUGGAGUAAGUCAUGCGAUGCUCUGAUUUACUUUAUCAAUGUUCCUUAUACAUGAAUGAAGAGUCUUUUAUGCUAUAUAUGAUCUUGUAGAUAACUAGAGUAGAAUAUGACUUAGUAGUUAGUAGAUAACUUAGAAUCCAUUCUCUAACUAAUCCGACAUCACCUACAUAUAUGAGGAGUAGUCUAUUUUCUAAUCGCUGUGUUAUUUAUCCCUUGAACUUAUAAUUCAUUAUCAUUAUCUUUAUGGUUUACCCCCUGCUAAAGUAAGUGAUUGUGUGACGAGUUUCUCAUUAGUAAUCAUGUUCUUGCAAGUUUAUCUCUAGUCUAUGCCUUGAUAGAUUUUGCCCUUAAUUUAAUCUCCUUAGAUCCCUUGAGCAAAAUUAUAAAUAACGAUACCUGGAAUACUUAUCCUGGUGAAAUGCUACAAUGAGGUGUUCUAUCUGUGCGCUUGCGGAUAGAAUAGAUUGUUUUCCAGAGAGCCUUUACUUUUAUAAAUACCUUUGUACACUCUGGCACCAUGUUGGGGAUGACAACCUAGUAUCUAAGUGGUGUUAGCUACUGUCAACAGGCUUCGCCGAUACAGCUCUUUGUCCUCGCCGUAGAUUACAUACGAUUUGGCCCGUCGAGCGAUACGGCGGGCCUCGGAUCGAUCUUUUGGUAGCUCGCAGCGGAUUAGGCAGUCGAGGAAUGGCGUGCGCCAGUCGAACGGUCGACCGGGACGCUGUUCCACCUCUGUUACCUCAGUUGCCAUUAGUAGCGUGUUGACGGCAUCGGUUUGCUGGGCAGGAGCGGUUUCGACGCCAGCCCCCGAGCCCAAGUCGACGGAUGGCUUGUGAAGAUCCCUUGACAAUGCGUUAGGUGGUAGCGUGCCUCGAGUCGAUGCGAUUUUGGCGAGUUCGUGGACGAGCUCGAGGCCAUGGAACUUGUCCUCGAGUCGACAGACUUCCCUGCAGUAUGCCUCCAUUUUCGGGUUGUGGCAGUUUGAGGCCUUCAUCACUUGGUCGAUGACGAGCUGGGAGUCGCCUCGAACGUCGAGGCGUCGGACUCCUAACUCGAUGGCGAUCUUCAGGCCGUUGAUGAGGGCCUCGUAUUCUGCAACAUUGUUGGACGCGGCAAAGUGAAUCCUGAUGACAUACCUCAUAUGAACGCCCAAGGGCGAGAUGAACAGCAGGCCGGCCCCAGCUCCUGUCUUCAUGAGGGAACCGUCAAAGUACAUCGUCCACAGCUCCGACUCAACCUGGGUCGGGGGAAGCUGGGAGUCUGUCCAUUCCGCGACGAAAUCCACCAGGGCUUGCGAGUUGAUAGCCUUACGGGGCGCAUAAGUGAGAGUCUCACUCAUGAGCUCGACCGACCACUUGGCGAUUCUUCCCUUGGCCUCCCGAAUUUGGAUGAUCUCGCCCAGGGGGAAGGACGAGACCACCGUGACAGGGUGGCGAGGAAGUAGUGCUGCAGCUUGCGUCGGGCGAGGAUUACGGCGUAGAUCAGCUUCUAGAUUUGGGGGUAACGUGCCUUGGUUUCCGAGAGCACCUCGCUGAUGAAAUAGACCGGCCUUUGGACGGGCAAUGGGUGCCCCUCCUCCUGCCUCUCGACCGCCAUAGCUGCACUGACGACCUGGGUCGUCGAGGCAACAUAAAGGAGCAGCGGUUCUGCAGGUUGAGGUGGGACCAGGACUGGUGCUAAGGUCAGCGUUUUCUUUAGGUUUUCGAGGGCUUCCUCGGCCCCAGGGGUCUAAGAGAAACGCUCGACUUUCUUCAGAAGUCGAUACAGAGGCAACGCCUUUUCUCCCAGUCUCGAGAUAAAACGACUUAGUGCCGCUAGGCAUCCUGUGACUCUCUGUACGCCCUUGAUGUCUCGGAUCGACCCCAUUCUCGUGAUGGCCGAGACUUUCUCGGGAUUGGCCUCGAUGCCGCACUGGGAAAUGAUGUAACCCAGGAGCAUGCCUCGAGGUACGCCGAAAACGCACUUCUCGGUGUUGAGCUUGAUCUGGUUGGCGCGCAAGCAGCUGAAAGCGAUCUCGAGGUCCUGGAUUAGGUCUCCCCGUCGCUUUGACUUGACGACGAUGUCGUCGACAUAGGCCUCGACCGUCGACCCUAUGCGCUUGCCGAACACGUGGAGCAUGCAUCGCUGGUAUGUGGCUCUCGCGUUUCGAAGCCCGAACGGCAUGGUUAUAUAACAAUACAUCCCAAAAGGUGUAAUGAAAGAUGUCGCGAGCUGGUCAGACUCUUUCAUUUUUAUUUGAUGGUAACCAGAAUAUGCAUCAAGGAAAGAAAGGAUUUCACAUCCCGCAGUAGAAUCAACAAUUUGGUCAAUACGUGGUAAUGGAAAAGGAACUUUCGGACAUGCUUUAUUAAAACUCGUGUAAUCGACACACAUCCUCAUUUUCCCAUUCUUUUUCUUAACUAGUACAGGAUUUGCUAACCAGUUGGGAUGGUGAACCUCCUUGAUGAAUCCGGCCGUCAAAAGCUUUUGAAUCUCCUCGCCAAUGAUCUUGCGCUUCUCCUCGUCGAAGCGGCGCAACCGUUGCUUCAUUGGCUUGGAACCGGCUCAAAUUUCCAAGAAGUGCUCGGCGACCUCCCUCGGUAUGCCCGACAUGUCUGAGGGACUCAUGCAAACAUAUCGGCGUUCGCACGGAGGAAGUCGACGAGCAUAGCUUCGUAUUUGGGGUCGAGGUCGGCGCUGAUCGUCAGCGCCUUGCCAUCAUAGCCAUUGGGGUCGAGCGGGAUCUUCUUGGUCCCUUCUGCCGGUUUGAAGCUGCCCGUGUGGUGCUUGGGCUCAGGAGCCUCUGCAGCCAGGGCCUCGAGCUUCAAGACGAGCUCAGUGGAACUCUCGACUGCUUCCCCAUACUCGACGCAUUCGACGUCGCACACGUACGCGUGCUCGAAGGAGGAGCUGACGGUGAUGACGCCCUUGGGACCGGGCAUCUUCACCUUUAAGUAGGUGUAGUUGGGGAUGGCCAUGAAUUUGGCAUAGCCCGGGCCCCCGAUGAUGGCGUGGUACGUGCCCCGGAACCCCACCACCUCGAAAGUGAGGGUCUCCUUUAUGAAAUUGGCCGCCGUGCCAAAACAAACCGGUAGGUCGAUUCGGCCCACCGGCAAUGCCUUCUUUCCUGGUACGACACUGUAUAAGCCACCGGCGCUCGGCUGGAGCCGCGCCCUGUUGAUGCCUAGGAGUUCGAGGGUCUCGAGGUAGAUGAUGUUGAGGCUGCUGCCGCCAUCCAUCAGCACCUUUGAGAGCCGGGUGUUGAUGAUGUUGGGGUCAACGACGAGCGGGUAGACGCCAGGGGCAACUACUUUGUCGGGGUGGUCCUCUCGAUCGAAGGUGAUGGGGGUGCUCGACCAGCUGAGGUACUGGGGCACCGCCAUUCUUGCUGCGAAGACCUCACAACGUUCCGUCUUGCGCUGCCUUGUGGUCAACUGCGUCGAGGGCCCACCGUAGAUGAUGUAGCAGUCGUGGACAGUAGGGAAACCGUCAUCAUCUUUGUUGUCCUCCUUUUCGCCGCCCUUCUCUUUCUUUGGGUCGUCGCGUGCGUCCAUCCUGAACCCCGGACCUCGAAAUGCUUUCUCAGCAUACGACUAUCCUUGAGCUUGUGGUUGGCUCCUCCCUUAUGGUAAGGGCAUGGCUCUUCUAGCAUCUUAUCGAAGAUGCCCCCAUCUGGAGGGCCUCGAGGCUUUUUGCGUUCCAUGGCGGCGACGAGAUCAUCGUCGAGGUCUUCCCGUUGGAACAGCCGGGUCUUCUUCUUCUUCUUGUUCUUCAUGGGACCUCGACUGGGGCCCUCGUCAUCGUCGGCGGGCUGCUUGCCUUUCCUUCCUUCAUAGCUGAAGAAGGCGCCGACCGCUUCUUCUCCUGCCACGUAGUUGGCCACCACGUCCAUCAGUGCGUCGACGGUCUGUGGGCGAUUCCGGCCUAAUUCCCGCACCAAGUCUCGACUGGUGGUACCAGAGACAAAGGCCAGGAUGACGUCGUGGUCGGGGAUGUGCGGCAGCUCGGUGCGUUGCUUUGAGAAGCAUCGAGCGUACUUUCGAAGAGUUUCUCCUGACUUCUCCUUGCACUUGCUGAGGUCCCACGAGUUCCCAGGCCGUAUGUAGGUUCCUUUGAAAUUACCCUCGAAAACUCUAACCAGAUCGACCCAGUCGUGGAUCUGACCGGCUGGAAGCUCCUUGAGCCACCUGCGGCCGGUGUCGGAGAGGAAGAGCGGCAGCUGUCUGAUGAUGGCUCGAUCGUCUCCUCGAGCACCUCCCAGCUGAUAGGCCAGCCUGAAGUCUGCCAGCCACAGCUCUGGUUUGGUCUCACCAUUGUACUUUGCGAUGCUGGUCGGGGGUCGGAACGGGCUGGGCAGCGGCGUGCUGCGGAUUGCCCUACCGAAUACCCGUGGGCCUGGUGGCUCUGGAGCCAUCCGGUCCUCAUCGCUGUCGUACCUCCCGCCACGAUGGGCACUGUAACCGCGCUCUUCCGUGUCCCCGUACCGACGGUGUCGAUUCUCUUCAAUGUCGCGUCACGCGUCGUGUCGACGCUGAUUGUCGACUGGGAGAACGAGCGUGGUCUUUUUCCCUCGAGGGGGUGGCUGCUGAUGGACUGACACCUCCUUUUCGUUUUGGGUUGGCUCAUCACGCUUUUCAGUGGCAGCUCCUCGACGUCGAGAAGCCGAGCUUUCGGCUUGCUAAACUGCCGCCACCUGGAGCAAAGUCUGCACCUCGUCUCGGAUGCGUUGAGCUUGGGAGUUCGACAGUUCCGGCAUGUUUCGCAGUAGCAUUUUUGCUGCCACAACAUUCUGGCCUGCUCGAGGGAAACGGCUGACGGGCUGCUCUGGCUCUGCGUCUCCGACGAUCUGCCGGUGUACCUCUCGAGCUUGUCUGCGGACACUUCCGCCAGGCGAGUAAGGCAGGUCCUGCUCGAGGAUCUGCUCAAGCAGGACAAGGCGCUCACGGUCCUCGUCAAGCUUUGCCUUGAGCUCUCGUAGCUGCGCAAUUUGCGCGGCUCAGUCUUCUUGCGGAGGGGGGUCGAUCUGACCGUCAUUUCCAGGCGUCCUGGGGUCUUCCCUUGCUGCAGGGGCUCACCCGCCUGCAACGGCGUCUUGUGUCUCGUCGGUGGUUUCCACCACUCCGUCGACAUGGAAACACUCCCUAGUAGGGUCGUGGCUGUCGGAUUCCGAGCCGGAUUCUGGCUCGGCGGCGUAGAAGCAUCCGCGUCCUUCCUCCAGCAGCCUCUGCCUGCGAGAAGUCUGGUUGCUCGGACACCCGUGGCCGUGCUUCAGGGUCGUGUGGGAGGACCAUUGGUCUCUCCACGUAUGUCUGGCCGUUUGGGCAUAUCGCCCUGGCGAGUGACGCUGCGGCAUUGUCCAGGCCGAACGGGAAGGCUCCUCUUGAGGCGAAGGGUCGGGCGUCGACUGACAGCACUUCAACCACUCCGACGUAGCUGCUACCACGACGUACAAGCGUGCAACGUAUGAACCAGUCCAGGACGGCGCGCAGGAGCAGGAUUCAGGGGCAUGCGUAAUCAUCACCAGAGUACCAAGACAGGACAGCUCGAGGCCACGCCGGUACGGAGGCCUCGAGUAGGUCAGCGCGCCAUACCUCUAUCGACCCCUACUCUGUCUCCUAUACAUGUACCCUAGGCCUCUCCUUGGAACUAUAAAAGGGGAGGCCCGGGACACGCGAUACAACACGACCCAACACAACGCACAAGCCAUACGUAAUAGAGAAACCUCACUCCAUCUCCACUCAUACCACGCUUGUAUUCACCCCUGUACAGGCACUUAGGUGCAAAAUAAUACAAACUCUCCCACCCCGCUGGACGUAGGGCCUUCUCUUGCCCAAACCAGGAUAAAUCUUUGUGUCUUUCUGCAUCACCAUAUGGGAAAGGGAGCACGCAUACAAGUUUUACUCGUUGGUGUGACCCCCGGGUGGAAAACACCGACAAUUGGCGCGCCAGGUUGGGGUCCUGCGUGUUCUUUCACCGAUUUCCCCAUUCCUUUCCAGAUGGCCACUCUCAUUUCGCCGAUUCCGUGCUCCACGGUGAUUUGGUUUGGGAGCCUCGAGUUCAUGUCUACUGGUUCCGGCUAUGACAUGAUCCUGCUCUUAGUCAAAGGACCGGGAGGAGCCCGCCUUGCGCCGGCACGAUUGAGGGCUCCGAGACGCCCUCGCCACCACGCCUCCUUGCCCAAGAAGAGGCAUGGACAGCGCCACCAUCACCCCUCUGCCUCUUCACGAUUGAUAGUUCAUGCCAGGCAGGAGGUGACAUAGGAGCCGACAGCCCCGCGCGCCGAAACCGCGUGUGUGUCGGCCCAACACCACAAGGAUCACGCGACGAUGAUGGGAGAUGGCGCGCCCCGCGCACUCUCCCACACCGCUGCCCUACUUCCACAUGGGCUAUUCACCUCGAGAAGAACGUUGCCGUUCGGUUUGGACAAUGCCGCGGCGUCGCUCGCCAGGGCGAUAUGUCCAAACGCCCAGACGUACGUGGAGAGACCAAUGGUCCUCCCACGCGACAAUGGAGCACGGCCACAGACGUCUGAGCUGCCAGACUUCUCACAGGUGCGAGGCCUCUGUCGCCUAGGCCCUGGGCGGUACACGAUUACCUCCCUCAGGCNNNNNNNNNNNNNNNNNNNNNNNNNNNNNNNNNNNNNNNNNNNNNNNNNNNNNNNNNNNNNNNNNNNNNNNNNNNNNNNNNNNNNNNNNNNNNNNNNNNNAACUGACUCAGUGAUGAUCCCAGGCAAGCCCCGGAGCAUUAUAAGUCUCCCACACCUUUUGAAUGCAAUUGAGAAUAUAUGUUAUAUAUGUAUUGUUGCAUUAAGUAUAGGAGUUGGGUGAAACCCUUGUUGCAUAUAUCACUCCUUGUCUAGUAAAUAUACCUAUAACCCUAUGUAGAUUCAGGAUCGAAUCUAAAUGCAUAGCUAUGCUUAGACCGGUAGAAGCCAGGUGAUGUCCUGUCACCUGAGCGAGAUAGGUGGACACUUGAAAAGGUUGGCUAUAUAUGCUAUCAUGGAAAUAACCAUGUGCUAAUAAUGAAAUGGGACCGAGCGGGAUGACGAUAGUGAAGCAACAAGGCAUGGAGGUCUUGGGUGUGAAUCUAUCCCCGUCUGUGUCGUUUAAGGACCGAUACGCUGUACGUCCUCUUGUCAUGUUGAACGCAUGCCUAACACUUAGUUGGCCAGAUAAGUCGUUCCGACCGCGAAGCCUACGAGUGCAUCUCUGGCCGGAUACCCCGAUCGGUUAAAGUGCACACCCCGGUUGGUAGCAAGGAUGUGCGGGGAGUCAAUGGCGUAAGACCGAGGUGUCAGGUUAGAGUCCUGACCCUGGCAGAUUGGCGGCUCCUAGGGGUGCGGCGCCGUACGGACCCGCGAAUUGGUCCGGAGUUGUGCUAAAGGUGAUCCGAGCUGCCCUCGCGAGGUAUGCUUGGGUGAGUGCUAGGAAUACCCCUCCAGCUGGAUAGGAAUCGAUUUGAAUCGCCGUCUCUCCAGGAUAGUGAGAACAUGACUUGAGCAGCGGCAACGUAGAUACACUAAAUGAAACUUCAUUGUUAUGAUGAUGAUGAUGGCUACAUGAUAAACCGGAUAUGGUUAUUAAUGUGAUGCUUAUUAAUCAAGUGGUUGCUAUAGAAUAGGUGCAAAUCUAGCUAUGGUAGCUUUAUUGGACUUGAUGCUAAAAUAUUGACUAAAAGGUUGAAAGUAAGGACUCAUGAUAGUAAUGCUCUUUUUGCAAAGAUAUGCUAUCCAACCAACUCCACCAAGUAGCCUUGCAUAUCCUUGAGAGUCUUUUAUUUUCUCUCCUAUCGGGUAAGUAUAGCUGAGUACAUUCGAGUACUCAGGGUUUAUCCCACCAUGUUGCAGGUGAAGUCUUCAGCCUGCUAAGGAUAGUGGCUAACCGCUGGUGGGCUCGGUGAUUCUAUAUAGUGUUCUCAUCUACAUGCUUUUGUCGGAGGAUGUCACUUAUGCUAGCAAUGUAUUUGGAACUUAGGUUAUUGUAAUCAUUUGAAAGCUAUGUUGUUUUCUAAUCAAUUUAGAAAAUCCAAACUUGUACUAUUAUUUGUGAACUCUUUUGUAAUAUUAUUUCCACUACAAAUCUCUAUGUAUGUGAUGUGUAUUUGCUUAAUCAUGCGAUCUUGGUGUAAGGUUGCUUUACCGAGGUCUUUCGUGACACUCGACAGACUACCGGGUUUAUAUAAGUGAGAGUAUGCGCGUGUCAACGUGUUAAACGGGGACAGUCAUACUUAAACUUGUAUAAAUUGGGCGGUUCUGUUACAGCUGGUAUCGGAGCAAGAUUAAGUAUAAUACUAUCAGGUACAUUGUUUUAAAAACAAAGUUUUGGUUUUAAAAAUCCUAUUUUGACUAAAACUUAAGCUACAGGCAAAACUUGUCAAAACUAAUUUACAAAAACUAUGCUAGAGACAACCUCUAGUUAUGCCCAAUUAAGGACUACUAGGUGGCUUUAUGUAAACUGAUACUAACUAUGGGGGGUUUACCUUAUUGCAACUUUUCCUUUCGUCGUCCAUACGGUGUGCAAUAAUAUGGAUACCACUUACUUAAGUGGUAAUGAAUGGAUCAUAUACCUCUACGCCACGGUAAGCAAUAUUUCCUUUCGUCGUCCAUACGGCGUAAAAUUGUAUGGAUGCCACUUGCUUGAGUGGUAAUGUAUGGAUCUACAUACCUCGACACUAAGGUAAGAAUGUGAGUUGUGAGAGCAUGACCGUCCAACCGUCGAUCUAGGGGAGAGUUAGAUAUGGUUACUGGAAUAUUUACAUGUUACACACAUGUCUAUAUGAAGGUACUUAAUUAUAGGUUAGCUGGUGUGACCAUUUAUACAUGGUUAUGUGUAUACAUGGGCGUGCUUCACAUGGGUAGUAUGCUGCAAUAUAUAUUCGGGAAUAUAUAUUGGAGUAUUUAGCUUUCAUCGUAGAGACCAGACUUUCAUUUCUGCACAUAUAUUAUUGUUGGGUUGGUCUGAAAUGAAAUCCUUCUGCAGGUACACUAACCACGAAUGCAUAGAUUGAACGUAGUUGAUGACUAGCUAUAUGUCGAGAGAGUACGUGUUAUGCCACCGACAUAGAACAUGAUUGCUACCUUAGGCUGGCAAUUUUGUGAGGACGAAUAAGACGAAGCAUGCAUCCUUAUGAUUGUUGCAUUAUGCAUGGCUAUGCUUCUUCCACCUUUGUUCCAAUAAUUAGUAACUUGUGAGCGAUGUGAUGCUACUCCUUUCAUUCUGUGAAGCUAUACAAAAUUGCCUUAGUCCAUGCUACUUGACUAGUUUUGCUUGAGAGUAGUGUGCGAUGUGUCUAGCCUUGAAAUGUUUGCUUCUAUAGGAAUGCUAAGUUAGUACUAGCAGAAACUACAAUCCUUUGAAAGCUAAAGGUUGUCGGUGAACACGUAUGUGAAUAUUUUCUAAUGAAUUCUCUAAUGUUAAUUAACUAAGUAAAAUAUGGCCUACCUAUAAAAGAAAUAGUUAAGGCUAUAUGCUUGAACUUGUAGGUGUCCACUUGUUUAGCCAAGUGGUAACUAUGUUUCUCAUGCAAGAGUUUGCAACUACUGGAGUUACGCAUGUGUGUGCUCUCUUGUUAAUAGAACAAGGGAAAACAUUGCUCCAUAUGUGUGUUGAAUUUUGGCUGCUAGAGCAGUUUUUAUUCUCAUAAUGUUUUCACGACAAUAAUGGUGUUUUCUGUAAUUAUGGUGAAUACCAAAGUUGUAGCCAACCUCUAUAUCUAGUUUAUCCUAAAAGUUCAUGACCGUAGGCCUGAUGGUUUAGGAGUUAUGAACUUUUGAAGUUUGUUGUCAGAUCCUGAUCAUAUUCUGAACAGAUCUGAAUGUUGAGUUUGUUUGACUAGUGUGCAUAUAGAAUCAUGUCUUGGAGUUAAUAGAAGAAGUGUAGUACUUUUGUUAGGGUUUCCAAAAUGUCUUAGAUCUCUACUUUUGGUGGUCUAAAUCUUAUGUUAUGAGCCUGUGAAGUAGAAUGACAGAAUCUGUCAAAAAUCUAAAUAGAUAUGUCUUCUUUGUAUUGUUUCUGCUUGUUAGCUGUAGAAGCAUCUUAAGAUGAUAAUAAGAAAAUUUUAGAUAACUUGAUAAGUUUUCCAUAAGAUUAAGGAUCAUGUUUGUUCGAUCAAUGGAACUUUAAUUACCAUUUUCUAAAAGUCAUGUCAAGUUCUCUAUCCUAGUUUAGGCAGAGCUGAUUGCUAUUCUUUUUCAACCUUGUUAAGUUUUGAAUUAACUCUAUAGGUUUGAUAACCUUUUCCCACUGAGUUUUCCUAAAUGCUAAACUCUUACUUGUGGUAUGUCCAUUUGCAUGAUAGUGCAGCCAUGCCACAAAUCUUUUGGAGCUCUUUUACUAUCUAUCUCAAAAUCAUCUUCUCCCUAAAAGACUGAGCCAUGUCCACUAGCUUUGUGUUGACGGUCCUUAAGUACCAAAUUUAAUCAUCAAAUAAAUAAAGAAAAGGAUCCAAAUGCAACCAACAAACAGACUUAGGGUUUUAUCUGACAGAAUUCCACGAGUUUUAGGUGUUUGUCUAUUUCUGCAGGGGGUUAUUAGGAAAUAUGGAGGAAAGGCCCACAUGUCGGGUUUACAUAGAGAUAUUAACGUGUCGCGCAAUUUUCUAUCAUCUAGAGGACUCCAGAAGCCAUGGGAACGAACGGGAGGCUGAACGGGCCCGGGGGCAGGGUGCCCGCCCUCCCCCCUUUGGCGCCCACCCUACUACAGAGACCAAUCAGGUCCCGUCUCGCGGAUUAUGCUCCACCGACCUAAAGGAUCAAGGAGAACCAUUCAAUCAAUGUCGGUUUGAUCCGAUGGCCCAGAUUCACUUGAGGGGACUAUAUAGGCAGACCCCCUGGCCCCUGGAGGAGGCAAUCCUCAAUCCUCAUGAUUCAUUAACAUAUUUUCCAGAGAAGAUUCAGAAAGAGAGGUUCCUUAGGGUUCCCACUUCAUAGGGCUUAGCAUCCAAUGUGAGAGUAGAACUAGUUCUACUAGAUUGAGAGAGAUAGAGUGGAGGUUGUUGGGUAUUCUUAACAUCAUUACCAAAAGUAGACUAAGUUCUCUAAAUCUAGUAACGGUGCCAAAAAUGCCAAACCUAUCCCUCACACCACUUAAGCCAAGUUGUCAUCCCCAGCAUGACAUGAGAGACGCGGUAUUGAAAUAUGCAAUUGCUCUUUUAAAUAAAUAAUGAAUGGGAUCUGCAAGCGCACAGAUUAAUACCGAUGCAGCAUUUUAACCGGGAAGUAUUCCAGGUAUCGUUAUUUAUAUUUUUACCACUGGGAAGGGAUUAACAAUCAUCAAUAUUGAUUACAGAAUAGAAUAUGAGAUUGAGCAUCUAUCAUUGCAUGUAUAAUUGAGAACACUUAUCUAACUCUUCAUACAGGGAUAAGUGUCACAUAAAAGAUAUAUGAAUUAAUGAAUAGUGACAAAGAUAAUUAAUCUUAUCAGCCACAUAUAAAUAUGAUAAGCACCUCAAUUAGAUACUCUAGAAAGUCAUUAGCAUGGUAUUAGAACAAACUACAAGAAUAUUCCCUAAGUUAUUCUUAACUAUAUAGUCUAGCAUUAUCAUAGUUAGUGCAAGCAUACUUAGCAAUCAUUGUGAGACAAGACUACGCCCAUGCAUAGUGUUAUUAGCAAGGAAUAUGAGAAACAUAGCAAUCACUCCCAUGUAAUAAUGUUGCUCUGCCAGCCCAAUACACGAGAGGGGGACUAUAUAAGAAUCAAUGAAGCUGUCACUAUCAUGAACUACCCCACGAUCUGGCAUAUUGGGUACAAUCACAGAUAAAUACGGUAUAAGCACCACGCCUACACAAUAUCUAUCAUUUACCCAUGGAUCCGAUGAAUAAAUGCUAUACGAUCCUAAGCAUGUAUAUAAAUCCAAUCUAACUAAGCCAAGUACAUAACUAUGAUAAACUAAGAACAAUAUAAUCUUGAAUAUAAACAAGUAGAGCAAAGUCAUAAGCAAUAUAUUGAAGUAGAACAAAGUCAUAUUCAUAAUAUUGAAGAACAAAGAUAAUUAGAAAGUAAUUAGAAGCACAAUUAGAGAAUUACCAAGAAUCCUCUUGACAGAUCCGGAAACCAAUCGAAGAUUGACUCCUUCAAGUUCUAAUCCUAUGUAGCUAUGCUAAUCUAGAUAUCUAAUUGAUGUGGUGACCCUAAUCUUGAUCAGUGGCUUCUUCUCCCUUGAGAAUAAUGAAUUAGGGUUGAGAGGCUCUCUCCUCCAGGGGCCAGGGGGUCUGGUUUUAUAGUCUCUUUAAGUGAAUAUGGGCCGUUGGAUCAAACCGACAUAGAUUGUAUGGUUUAGAUUCAUCCUUUAGGUCGGUGGAGAUCUCCCACGAAGCAGAGUCCUGAUUGGACUCAGGGAGGGGGAGGGCGCCCAGGGCAGGAGGGCGGGCGCCCUGCCUCUGGCCCCGUUUCACCUCCGCUUCGGUCUCGUGGCUUCUGGAGUCUUCUAGAUGUAAGAUAAUUGCGCGGCACGUUAAUAUCUCUAUGUAAUCCCGACGUGUGGGUCUUUCUUCCGUAUUUCCUGAUAACCCCCUGCAGAAAUAGACAAACACCAAAACUCAUGGAAUUCUGUCAAAUAAAACCCUAGGUCUAGAUGUUGAUUUCAUUUGGAUCCUUUUCUUUAUUUAUUGGAUAAUUAAAUUUGAUACUUAAGGACCGUCAACAAACUCCCCCAAGCUUACCUCUUGCUCGUCUCUGAGCAAGGAUAGACUCAGCUAUGGAUCAUAAGUUGUUGCAAUAUCUUUAAAAAUUAGUGGUACACAUGCUUUUUAAAUAAGAUCUCAUCUCUAAGUUAGAGUAAACUGUCAAGACUUAAAACUUACUUACUUUACCUUUACCAUGGGACUUAUAACUGUCACUUCUAUCUUGAGUGGUUAAAAGAUAGAACAGUCUAGUCAAGUGCCACGUCUCUUAUUCUUGAUCAGCUAUAGCUCUGGUGCUUUUACAAAUUUUUAAAUAAAACUCAGAGAUUCCUUGUAUGAUUCUCUCAUAUCUCUCUUUUGUGGUAUUUCUGUAUCCUUACCAAGGCAGUGAUGGUAUAUGCCUUCUCUCAAGAUAUGUAGUAUUUGUGGUAUAAAGCAUAGUGACAUUAUCUUAUCUCUCACCCUACUCUAAUAAGGCUUUAAUAUCUGGAGCUCAUAGGUGGGAGAUAAAAUAUACAUACUUACAAGACAUUUAUUGUAUAGUCAAACCAUGGAUCCAAAGUAACAAGUCAAUAAGUUUAAUCAAGAUGUGCAUGUGUGGCGAAUGAAUGGUGUAUGGUGAUGAUGGUGGUAACAAUGGUGAAAACAAUGGUGAUGGAAGUCUAAUUCUACUUUUGCUCUUUUGAGGGGAUACAUACCUUUCUUGCUUUUUUUGAAAUUUUAUGAGGAGAAUGAGAUGCUCUUUAUUUUUUUUUCUUUUCUCUCAGGUGGGUAUCUUGUACCCCUAAUCUACUGUCGGACACUUGUCCAUUUUUACCUCUCGUCUCACUUUUUCUUUUCUUUCGAGGUUCCGAGCACUUGCUCCUUUUUAUUUCCUCGUUUUUUUAGAGCACUCAUCUCUUGAAAUAAUGUAGCAAGUGGUAGUAACAAGAUAACUUGAGCAUUUAUUUCACAAGGGAAAAACAAAAAUAUUUUUGGCUAUUCUCUCCCGGAUUAGGAGUAGAAUAUUUUUAGGUGGUUCUGGAGAUGGAAAUGAGUGGAUAUAUGUGGAUGGUACUUCCGGAGUAGAAGUAGCAUAUAUGAGUGAACGUGCAAGUGAAUCUUGAUUUAACCACAUGACAAGCUCCUAAGGGUCUACACAGCUUGACCACACUCAAUGCUCGUAAGCAGUAAAUAGUAAAUGUGUGGCUCAAAGUCUAGCAAGUAUGUAUAUAUGGCUGUGGUAGGAAUUUAAACUCUCAUCAUACAGGAACUCAUCAUGCAACAUUUUAAAGAUUUUCAAAGAUAAAAUUCUCCAGAAUUCUAGCAUCUCUAGAAACAGAUAAACAGCAGCUCAACCUUCUCAUAUCGUAUCCAUUAACAACUUAGACUUCAGAUCAAGUUUUCAUCCCACAAGUUUAGGUCUAGAGCAAGCUUUAAAUUAUAACAGUUAUAUCUAAACUUGAGAGAGAACUUAAAAUGUGCAAAUUAGGCAGAGCAACUAUUCAUCAUAUCCAUGCUAGAGUUUUAUUUAGAUACAGAUUAGCAUAGCCACUUUAUUUAUUUAUUAAACACACUAAGCAAAAGAUAUAUAUAUAAGCAUAAAAUCUUUAUUUGGUUUUUCAUAGUUAUUUAUAUUUAUAUUCUAAAAUAGUAUAAGAUAGUUAGAUAAAAAUACUUAGCGGGAUAAAUAGGGGUGCUCUCCCCCAAGCUGAAUUUUGACGUAAUUUCUCUUGAUGUAGCUAGCAGGUGGCAGAGGUGUAUUUGAAAGUCACCAGCAUUCUGACAGCGAUUAGAAUGUCCUCCGUCUGCUAGUCUUCUUGAUUCUUAAAUUCUGUGGAGCUCAAAUAGACAACAAAGCUUGUGGAACUUGAUUAAGUGUUAGCAUAAAUAUCUAGCCUUUAUCAUGUUGAGACUCCUUAAUAAAUAUUACUCCCUAUUUUUAUAUUUUCAUUUUUAUAGAGCAGAAAAGAAAUAUUUAUUUUAUUUUUAUGCCACCACAGUGAAUGUACUUAUGGGUUUUAUGCCACUCGUAUACUCACAUGGGGCUUACUAUUUUUCACAUUUUUAUUUUUUUUUAGGAUAGCACGAACAUGAUUAACUAAGUAAACUAGUUGAAAUAAUUGAAAGGGAAAGGAUAACUACCAAGUUUACCUCUUGGCAAGGCGUUCAGUGUUUUUAAGUCCUCCGAACGGGACUCUCCGUUUUCUCAAUUGUCCUGGGAUUCGUUGGGUGGCGUAGUCGGUACUUCCGGCAGCGCCUCCUCUUCAUGUAUAGUUAUCUUCUCUUUCCAUACCUGACUCGGUGCUACGGUCUCCUCUGGAUAAUUUUGUUUAAACUCUACGUCUUCUGACCUUACAACUUCUCCUUCGUAGUCUGCCCAUCCGUCCUUGAUGAUUUGCCUCCUCUGGUUGCGGUUGCGUCAUUUUCUUACCUGCUUAGAUUCUUCAACGAUAUAGUUAGGGUCAGUAAAAUAACGGCGUACCUUCUCUGAGGGGAAGUGCAUAUGGACUUCUCCGGUUCCAAUAUAGAUAAUUGCUUUAACGGUGCUGAGGAACGGUCUUCCAAGGAUGAUGGGUGGAUCGUAUUCAUCUUCUCCCAUGUCAAUAACCUGAAAGUCUGUGUAGACAAAGUGAUCGUCUAUUUUGACUGGGACAUCAGAUACUGUUCCUUUAACUUCUCGAAAUGUCUGAUCUGCCAUCUGGAGCUGAAUGUAUGCUGGUCUUAGGGGCAUGGUCCCGAACAAGAGCCGAUAGGUGACUGCAGCCAUUAUGUUGACGCCUGAUCCGGUGUUGCAAAACGUCUUGUAGAAGUUGUAUCCAUUUAUGGAGCAGUAGAUGCUUGGCAUUCCUGGGUCGUCCUUCUUGAUCAAAAACGGUGACUUAAGUUGAUGAUCUUGACAUCCAUGAAUUGCAGUGACCAUCUUAGCUGACUCGGUCCACACUUGCUUGUUCCUGUUCCUCCUGUUUGUCCUCUUCCUUGAUUCACGUCUGGAAUGAUCUGGGAUUUGUGUAGUCUUGUUCCUGAAGAAAAAUGUCUCCUUCCUCCCUUUGAUGUAGAAACUGAUCUUGGCAGCACUGGCGUAGAUGAUAGCUCCCGUGGUGUUCAAGAAUGGCCUCCCUAAGAUGAUAGGUGCUCUCUCAUCAUUACCGGUCUCUACCACUACGAAGUCGGCUAGAGCAUAUAAGGUACCAACUUGGACACGAAGGUUCUUCAAUAUUCCUUUUGGAAAAGUUAUCGUCUGAUCUGCAAACUGCAAACACAUGGUUGUCUCUAAUAAAGGAUAUGUAAAGAAUUUUUCAUAGAGCACUCUGGGUAUAAUGUUGACGCUGGAGCCAAAGUCACAGAGUGCUUCUGGGACGUCCACCAUGCCGAUGGAGAUCGGGAUGACGGGGCGUCCUGGAUGUCCUCUCUUGAUCGGUAGAAGGUCAGUAGAGAAUUCAGUGACGGGGUUACUCCAAUUACCUGCAUCAAACAUGUCUACAAGAUUUGCAGAUUCUAAUCCUUCCGGUUGUGAUGGUAUACCGGGGUUAGUAGCAGGAACAGCAGCAGCUAUUUAAUUUAACUGAGAUUCAAUCAUUUUAUUAAAGCUAAUUUGAUUCUUGAUGGCAGUAGAGAAAUUAUCCAUUCUAUUAUUUAUAUUUUCUAGCAUUUUAUCAUUAGAUGCCAAUUUCUUAGACAGGUUAUCCAUUAGCUUUCCUUGAUUAGACACUAACUCUCUCAGAGGUGGAAAAUUAUUAUUAUUGUUGUAAAAAUUGUUACCUUGAUAAUUACCUGAGUAGUUAGGCCUCUGUUGAUUCCAACCUUGAUUUUGUUGAGGACGGUUGUAGUAGUUGUUGUUGUUGUUGUUGAUGUAGUUUACAUCCUCAAGCAUCUCAGGGCAGUGAUUGCCUGAGUGUCCAGUGUCUCCACACUCCUCACAAGUCAUGUGAGAGUCGUAGAUGUGCAUAACUUCCUUCUUAUCCCCAGCUCUAUCAUCGAGCUUCUUCAUGAGCACGUCUAGCUUUGCAGAAAGCAUGUCUACCUCCUUCAGCUGAUGCAUACCUCCACCUCUCUUGCGUGUCUGGGUCCUCUCUUCAUUCCAGCUUUGAUUGGAUGCCAUCUUCUCCACAAGAGUUGUGGCUUGUGGUAUUGUAAGUGAGAAGAAUGCUCCUCCAGCUGCAGCAUCCAUGGUUUCUCGGGCACUAUUGCCGAGCCCAUGAUAGAAUGUCUGCAUCAAUAGCCAACUCUCCAUUCCAUGAUGGGGAUAUUCUAGGAUGUGUUGGGUAUUUUAAAAGCAAACAGAAAAAUCCGCAAGCGCACGGAUACCGAUGUAGCCUUCACCCGGGAGUAUUCCAGAGUAUCGAUUUUCCACAGGGAACGUGAGUGUACUAAUUAAGAAUCAAGAUCGCCCAAGGAUAACUAUAUAAUUGUUUUUGGUGGGAAGAGAGGAAGUUUCCUGAGAGUUCUCUAAUUGAUCUAAGAAUCAAUAAUUACUUCAAGAUUAUCUAUAUCGGGACAUCAGAGCACUAACCAUAGAAAGAGAUGAGAAGGGGGCUAGGAAGGUCUGACUACGGUCCUACAAACACCGAUCCGAACGUGGUGGAAUACGUCGACCGUUAGGGCUGUCACUACCCUAGGGCUACCACAACAAUCCGUGGGAUUGGGUGCAAUUCCAGGUAAUCACAAGACUAAACACCACAUCUAAUCUAUUAAUUACUACUCUAGCGUUAUAAAGACUAGAGCACUUGAUGCAAGCGGGAAUCCAAUAAAUAACUUGAAUGUAAAUAAAAGUAAUUAAAGAACUCAGGAAUUAUGAAUUGAAGAACCUGGAGAACGAUGAAGAACGAACCAGAUGCUGCAAAAGUAUAAUGUUGAGGAAGAUCCGACAGAUCCGGCUCCUCCUCCGCUCUCCUCUUCUCUCUCCCUAUUUUCUAGAUUACAACUAGAACUAACUAGAACUAGAACUAGAGGAACUAGAACUAGAACUAGGUGAACUAGAACUAGAUCUAGAUAAACUAGAGGUAGAACUAGAAGAACUAGAGGGAUCCUCUCUACUUGGAUGAAGAAUUGAAACCCUAACUUUGAUUCUAUAGAAGAGGUAUGAUCUCCAGGGGCCAGGGGGGUCUGGUUUUAUAGUCCCUUCAAGUGAAUCUGGGCCAUCGGAUCAAACCGACAUUGAUCGUGUGGUUUUCCUUGAUCCUUUAGGUCGGUGGAGCGUUGUCGGCAAAGUUGGACGUGUUUGACUACAACUCCUGGGCGGGCGCCCAAGGGGGGUGGGCGGGCGCCCUGCCCCCGGGCCCGUUCGCCUUCCCGUUCGUUCUCGUGGCUUCUGGAGUCUUCUAGAUGACGUAAAAUUGCGCGGCACGUUAAUAUCUCUAUGUCAACCUGACGUGUGGGCCUUUCUUCCGUAUUUCCUGAUAGCCCCCUGCAGAAAUAGACAAACACCAAAACUUGUGGAAUUCUGUCAGAUAAAACCCUAAGUCUAGGUGUUGGUUGCAUUUGGAUCCUUUUCCAUGAUUAGUUGAUGGUUAAUUGUGAGCAUUAAGGACCGUCAACAAGCUCCCCCAAGCUUAACCUUUGCUCGUCCCUGAGCAAAGAUGAACUCAAGAGUUUCUACAGUGGUUUCAUAACUUAAAGAUACACAUGCGUUUAAACAAGAUCUCAUCUCUGGUUAGAGUAAACUGUUAAGACUUAAAACUUACUCAUUUACCUUUCACCAUGGGGCUUGUAACCGUCACUUGUGUCUUGAGCAGUUAAAAGAUAGAACGGUCUAGUCAAGCACCAUGUCUAAUGUUCUUGAUCAACUAUAGCUCUGGAGUUUUUGCAGAUUUUCAAAUAAAACUCAGAGAUUCCUUGUAUGACUCUCUCUAGUCUCUCUUUUGUGGUAUUUCUAGAUCCUUACCAAGGCAGUAUUGGUAUAUGCCUUCUCUCAAAGUAUGUGGUAUUUUUGGUAUAAGGCAUAGUGACAUUGCCUUCUCUCUCACCCUACUCUAAUAAGGCUUUUGAUAUCUGGAGCUCAUAGGUGGGAGACAGCUAAUACAUACUUACAAGACAUUUAUUGUAUAGUCAAACCAUGGAUCCAAAGAAACAAAUCAAUAAGUCAAAUCAAGAUGUGCAUGUGUGGCGAAUGAAUGGUGUAUGGUGAUGAUGGUGAUAACAAUGGUGGAAGUCUAAUUCUACUUAUGCUCUUUUGAGGGGAUACAUACCUUUCUUGCUCUUUUGAAACUUUCAGGGAGAAUGAGAUGCUCUAUAUUUUCUUUUUCUUUUCUCUCAAACGGGUAUCUUGUACCCCUAAUUAUACUGUCGGACACUUGUCCAUUUUUACCUCUCGUCUCACUUUUUUUUUCUCUUUUUUUUCUCUCUCUCUUUUUUUUUCUUUUCUUUCGAGGUUCCGGGCACUUGCCCCUUUUUAUUUCCUCGUAUUUAUUAUUUUUUAGAGCACUCAUCUCUUGAGAUAAUAUAGCAAGUGGUAGUAACAAGAUAACUUGAGCAUUUAUUUCAUAGGGGAAAAACAGAAAUAUUUUUGGUUAUUCUCUCCCGGAUUAGGAGUAGAAUAUUUUUAGGUGGUUCUGGAGAUGGAAAUGAGUGGAUAUAUGUGGAUGGUACUUCUGGAGUAGAAGUAGCAUAUAUGAGUGAACGUGCAAGUGAAUCUUGAUUUAACCACAUGACAAGCUCCUAAGGGUCUACACAGCUUGACCACACUCAAUGCUCAUAAGCAGUAAAAAGUAAAUGUGUGGUUCAUAGUCUAAUAAGCAUGUAUAUCUGGCUGUGGUAGGAAUUUAAACUCUCAUCAUACAGGAACUCAUCAUGCAACAUUUUAAAGAUUUUCAAAGAUAAAAUUCUCCAGAAUUCUAGUAUCUCUAGGAACAGAUAAACAGCAGCUCAACCUUCCCAUAUCGUAUCCGUUAACGACUUAGACUUUAGAUCAAAUACUCUCCCCACAAGUUCAGGUUUAGAGCAAAUCUUAAUUAAUAACAGUCAUGCCUAAACUUGAGAGAGAUUUCAAUUUUAAGAACUAGUCAUGGCAGAGCAACUACUCAUCAUUUCCAUGUGAGAGCUUAUCAUGAGGGUUCAUAGCAAUCUUUAUUUAUUUAUUUAUUUAGAAAACUAAGCAAAGAUGUAUAUAUAUAAGCACAAAAUCUUUAUUUGGGUUUAUAUGAUUAUACAUCUUUUUAUUAUUAGAGUAAAGUAUAAACGUGAGUAGAAUACUUAGCUGGUUAAAUGGGGGUGCUCUCCCCCAAGCUGGAUUUUGACGAAGUUUCUUCUGAUGUAGCUAGCAGGUGGUGGAGGUGUAUUUGAAUGUCAGCAGCAUCCUGAUAGUGAUUAGGAUGUCCUCCGACAGCUAGUCUUCUUUGAUCCUUGAAUUCUGUGGAGCUCAAAUAGACAACAAAGCUUUGUGGAACUGGUUAUGUGUUAGCAUAAAUACCUAGCCUUUAUCAUGUUGAGCCUCCUCAAUAAAUGUUACUCAUUAGUAGUAUCAUAAUUUUAUUUUUAUAAUUUUAUUUUUUAUAGGACAGGAAUAUAUUUAUUUUAUUUUUAUGCCACCACAGUGAAUGUACUUAUGGGUUUUAUGCCAUCAGCAUACUCACAUGGGGCUUACUAUUUUUAACAUUUUUAUUUUCUUUUCAAGAUGAUAUGAAUAUGAUUAACUAAGCAAACCAUUUUAAAAUAAUUGAAAGGAAAAAGAUAACUACCAAGUUUACCUCUUGGCAAGGCGUUCGGUGUUUUUAGGUCCUCCGAACGAGACUCUCCAUUUUCUCAGUUGUCCUGGGAUUCGCUGGAUGGCGUAGUCGGUGGUUCUGACGGUGCUUCCUCUUCGUGUAUAACUAUCUUCUCUUUCCACACCUGACUCGGUGCUACGGUCUCCUCAGGAUAGUUCUGUUCAAGCUGUAUGUCUUCAGACCUUACUACUUCUCCUUCAUAGCCCAUCCGUCCUUGAUGAUUUGCCUUCUCUGGUUGCGGUUGCGUCGUCUUCUUCUUGUCUUGACCUGCUUAGAGUCUUCAACUAUAUGGUUAGGGUCAGUAAAAUAGCAGCGUACCUUCUCAAAGGGGAAAUGCAUGUGGACUCCUCUGGUUCCAAUGUAGAUGAUUGCUUUAACGGUGCUGAGGAGCGGUCUUCCAAGGAUGACGGGUGGAUUAUACUCGUCUUCUCCCAUGACAAUAACCUUCAAAUCAUCUGGAGCUGAAUGUAUUUUGGUUGUAGGGGCAUGGUUCUAAAUAGGAGCUGAUAGGUGACUGCGGCCAUUGACAUCAGAUCCGGUGUCGUAGAGUGUCUUCUGAAAAGAAUAUCCGUUGAUUGUGCACUCGAUGCUUGGAACACCAGGGUCGUCCUUCUUGAACAAGAAAGGCGACUUGAGUUGACGAUCUUGACCUCCUUGAACUGCAGUGACCAUCUUAGCUAACUCAGUCCACAUUUGCUUGUUUCUGUUCCUCCUGUUGGUCCUCUUCCUUGGUUCAU